UAUCAUCAAUUUUUAAUUUAAAUAUUCAUAUCGAACUAGAAAUUCAUAUCUGCAGGCAAAUGUUCCAUAAUAAACAUAGCAUAUAAGUAUCUCCAUAUAACAACAAAAUAUCAAAAUUUUAUCACUACAUCCAAAAGGUUAAUGUUCUAACAACUUAGAAUUGUCUACAAAAAUCAAACUCUAUAAUUUAAAUUCUACAUUCCAAAGUCAUUAAUAUUACUCAUUGACAUUUGUACCAUCAUUUGAAUUGCUUCCACGAGUUCCAUUACCAACAGAAGGAUCAUCUUCAUCUAAAUCCAUUAAAUCCAAAUCUAUAUUUGCAUGUUUAGCAAAUACGGCAAACAUUUUAUUUGAAUAUCUAUUUGAUUUAGAUGUUGAGCCACGGGUGAGGAUGCGUCCAUCCAAACUAAGUCCAUAUACUAUACCCUUUGCAUUUCUUCCUCCAACAACUCAAUCAUUAGUGUAUCAUAAUCAAUUGGCUUCAGUUGAGUAGCAGCACUCUCAUUAUUACAAGACUCAGAAGGUUGAGGUUGAGACUCAACUUGUGAACAUAGAUUUACAAAGUUAUCCUAGGAAAAAAAUAAACAAAGAUAAACAUGUAAUGAAGUUAGAGACGCAUAACAAACAGAUAACAAAAAGAUAAGUAAUGCCCCAAAAGUACAAUAAACAUACACAUUAUAUACAAGACAAGAAAAGGGAACCAUACAAGCCUCCUCAAUCAAUAAUUACCCCAAGGCCAAAACAAAGACCACAACUCUACAAAUACAUCACAAUUGGUAAAACUAAGAUGGCAGCUUUAUCAAAGGCAUAUAUACGUGUUAAAGGCAUCUGAGAUAUGUUCAAUUGAAAGGUCUCACUUAAGCAUAAAAACCCCUUAGUAAAAUAAUUUUCAAGGAAACCAUUAUGUACAGGUAAUAACACUUUCUUCCUAGAUACACAUAAACAGGGGAACAAGUUUUAUUCAUCAAUCGACACUCAUGAAACAAACAAUUUUAUUCACCAAUUGACACUCGUGCAAGAACAGCAAGAACGGAAACACGGGACCAACUGUCAAAGCUAUCUCUAGACAUACAUGUGCAGCAAUCUUUUAUUCAUGAAACAAACAAUAUUAUCACAAGUAAAAUAUAGCUUACCAAUUCAAGUUCAUGUUUUAAUUGAUUCUUUGACCCUUGGGUGUGCAAUGAACCUCCAUCCCUGGACAGCAAAAAAUGCAGGCUUACAGCAGAUAGCAAAAAACCAGAAAAACAGGGCUAAAGCAGCAAAAACACAAAUAGACCAUCACUAAUUAGCUAACUAUAUAUGUCUCAUUCAUGUUAGUUCCCAUUCAUUAGUUCGUGAUUCAUAUGGAAUGGGAAUUAACAUCAAGCUAAUUACACUAAUUAGCUAACUAUAUGUUAAUUUCUCUUGGUUGGUUUUGGAUUAACAUGGAAAUUACAUUAAUUAGCUAACUCUAUAAAACAAAUGCUCUCUAGUCCAAAUCUCUUAACCACAAUGGUUUGCCAUCUACCUAUCCUUAAAAUCAUGCCCUAACACAACCAUUACUACAUGAGAAUUAUAUAAUCCAUUGUAUUGUGAACCUAAUUUCAAUUAAAAAUAUAUCUAAUCAGUUAUGAAACAGAAAGAAUCAUAUCAAAGGGAAAUAUAUUGAAUAAAAUCGUCAUAUAAAUUUAACAAACAAUCAAAUCCCAAAAUUGAAAUAGCAAGACAAGAGUUUCAAUAUAUAUAAACAAAUCUAAACAUCAACAUGACAUAAUAAUCAAGGAAGUGUGAACUACAUAUGCAUAUAAAGUGGGUAAAUAAGACUGAAUAAUAGAGUAAAAAUAACAAUGUGAAAAUGAUAACUAAAAAGAUAUUUACAUAGUCAAGGAUAACGAUGUGAGUUGUGAACUAACUAAAAGUGCCAAAUUAUUACUUCAACAGAUAAAGGGGUCGAUAAAUUUCAUGAAAUGGAGAAGACUGAGAAAGUGUCGGAGAAAAGGGGGUGAGAAAUUUCAUACCGAUUGAAAAGAGACGGUGGUAACUGGUGUUGAUAUGAGACGAGACGAGAGAGAGACGGUGGUGAAGAGAAGAGACGGUGGUGACUGUGUUGAGAGGAGAGACGAGAGAGACGGUGAUGCGGUGGUGACUGUGGUUAGGGUUCUUUCAUCUUGUGCGAUUUCUUUCUCUGCUUUUGAUAGUGCGUUAGUUCUUUCAAUUGAUUUUAGGGAUUUGCCUCAAAAGUCAAAAAUAUUAAACUUAAUCUUCUUUUUUUUUUCUUUUUUUUAUAAGGAACUUAAUCUUUUUUGAAACAAUAAUAAAAUUAUCAAAUAUAUUUUAAUUGUUUUUUUUUUUACAAUUAGAUUAAUUUAUAGUGUACCCUAAAAAAAAAUUACUUUAUUCAUAAAACUUUUUUUUACCUUGUCAAAAAAAAAUUAUUAUAAAAAAAUAUAAUCCAUUUUAUUUCACUAAAUGGCACCAGUUUUCCCCCCUUUUAUUUCACUAAUUUUUUGGAAUAAGGUUGAGCGGGAAAUACAAAUUUCAUCCCAAUCUUGUGACAGAAAGUUGAAUCCGUUCCAAUAUAGUGACAGAAUAUAGAUUUUGUCCCAACCAGAUAAAUAAAGUUUUAAUAAAACACGUGCGACAGAAAUGUGUCGCAAAUUCCGUCCCCAUUUGAUUAGUUUGGGACAGAAUUUAAUUCCGUCACAAAUUUCCGUCCCAAUUUCAUUUUUUUCUAGUAGUGUUUAUUUUUAAUUAUAUAGUCACGGUUAGUCGGUUACAACUAUAGUCAAAUCAUUUUUUUUAUUCUUCUUAGCCACCAUUUACCACAGCUAAACCGUGUCUAAUUGUUAUAUAACUGUGGUUAUAAAAAUGUUAUAGCACAUUAUAUUGUUGUGGUAAAUACCAAAUUUAGUCGUGGCUAAAUUUUACAAUGCGCCAUCAUCAAAAUUUCCGUGGUAAAAUUUAUUAGCCACAACUUAUGUAAUUUUUAGCUACGAUUUUGACUGUGACUAAAUAAUAUAUUUUUUAUAAUGUUAUAUCCACUAGUUUUUAAUCUAAAUUUAAUUUAGUGUUGAUAACUGGAUAGAUACUUGAGGUUUGUAUGUAUUUGAUCAGUGAUUCAAAUUCAAGGUUUGAUAGUGUGUAUAAAACAAACAAAUUUGUGAGACGUGAACUAGUAUUAAAUUAAAGGCAAAAUUACGCCAAAUGUUGUUUUUAUCGUAUUUCUUUAAUACUUUGGUUCUUUAUAUUUUUUGUAACACUUUAAUCCUUUAUUUUUUUUUAUUUGUAACAUUUUAAUCCUUUUUUUUUGUAACACUUUGUCAUUUAUCUUAUUUAUUUAUAAAAAAUAAAGGACCAAAGUGGAUGGUGGGAUUGGUCCUUUGGAUUAGUCGGUCCUAGGACCCGAUACCAAGUCUUAAAAAAAUAAAAUAAAGGACUAAAGUGUUACAAAAAAAAGAAAGAGAAAGGACCAAAGUGUUACAAAAAGAAAAGAUAAAGGACCAAAAUGUUACAAAAAAAAAAAGAUAAAAGGCCAAAGUGUUACAAAAAAAUAAGAUAAAAGACCUGCAGUGUAAUUUUGCCUAAAUUAAAUAAAUCUUGUCUACCAAAAAAUUAAAUAAAUCUUGAAUAUUAUUAAAUCAUGAGACUAGUCUCCACAAUUACAUGGAGAUGAUAUGUUGGGAAAAUUUUUGUGGAUGUAAGCGCAUGCAUGGAGCACAUUUAUCAUUUAUGACACCUUUGGUGGCUUAUUAGCUAGUUUCUUGCGAGUUCAUCCUUCUUACUACUUGUACAUUAAUUGAUGCAAGGAUAAGUAUAUAACCACGUAACAAAGAUAUCUGUUUCAAAAUAUGUGCUUAUAAAGUUAUUGGGCUCAAGUGGUUAAUGAGCUUCACCAAAAAAGACGGAUUUCGGGAGAACCCGGAUUCGAUUCCUGGAUGGAACAAUUUCUUGAUCAAACUUUACUUACCUCGCGGCCGAACUCUAGACUAUCAGAACCCAUUUUCCCUAGGAACCAGAGGGUUAUAAAUAAUUUUACACUGUCAACCAAUACCAACCAUGUUUUCCGCCACAUCACCCAACUUCACCUCACUUUUUUGACAUGACAUGACAAAAUGAUUGUUAUUUAUUGGAUGAUAGUGUAAAACUAUUUUACACCGUCAGUACAUAUCAAUUAAACUCAUAAAAAAAUACAUAACGUUACGUAGCCUAAGAUUUUAUAAUAGUCUCAUUGAAUUGAAAAAGCCCCACUACCACAUGCAAACAAAGUGUUCCAGCUCUUCAUCCAUCCAUAUUUUUCAUUUCGUCGGCGUCUUUUGCUUCACCUCUCCUUAUCUCUAGCAUUGUUUAUUUUAGGCAAAUGUCAUUUUCAUUUCAACUAUAAUGCACUUUUUAUCUUUUCUUUUCCUUUCAUUUCCUAUCGACCAUUCAAAGCUCUUUGCCAAUAAAAUAUUAAUGUCAUAUAGUAGUCUCAUAUUCAAUUGGAAUCUAACACGUGUUACCUUAGAGACCAGCCUUAUAAUUAUUUUUUUUAUUGUAUUGAUGAAAAUAUUCAUAUGAUCAUUAUAUUAUAGUCCAUUGUUCACACACAACAACAACACAAUAAUGAUAGCAAUACAUUUUAUAACACAAUCAUUUUAACAAACACUCUUUUACCAAUUCCAAUUAAUUGAGGAUUCCACCGAAUCACGUAGGUUCCAUAUGGAAUUGUUAGUUGAUCCAUAAGAAUUUCAAUAGUUAAAAGAAUGUGUAUUGCAAACUAAAUGGUUUAUUUAUUUUUUAUGCAGAUGCAUUUGUUAAUGUUAAUGGAUUUGAAUUUCACGCAUAAAACUAUUUUAAAUAACAAAAGUGUUCAAGAAUAUUAAUACAUCCAAUAAUCAGGAACAUAAAUAAUGUGAAACUCUAAAUAAAGAUGAAUUAUUUGCUGUCAAUUUUGAAUGUAGUUGCUCUCAGAGUUAAAGUUAAACCUAAUUCUCUAUUUUAAAAUGGUAUUAAAAUCUCUUUCAUGAUUCGUUAUGCCACCUACUGUCAGGUUUUUUUACUUGGCCACUAUUUAUAUUUACGCAUCAAGUUUAAUAGUGUUGACUGUAAAGAGGUACGAUACGUUAAAUUUUAAAGUCUCACAUCAGUAAUCAAGCCUUAUUAAUAUUAUGUCGGGUGUGCAUUAUUAAGCCAAACCAACCAUUAUAUGCAAAUAUAUGUAAAUGAGUGGCAUGAGAUGGGAAAGCAUCAAUUAAACCACAAUUUCUUACUAUUGUCAAAAAAUAGAAAACCACAAUUUCUUGCUUUUUUUAAUAAAAAAGCUCAAUUUCUUUUGUGUCUUAUAUACUGCAGUAAUUGGUAGGGCAGCUAUUUAAAUUGAUAAUGUUUGUACCCACUAUUGAUUUGGAUCUCACAUGUAUGUGUUCCUACCAUAGGGCCAUAACAGACUCUAUUAUCCAAUUGUAAGCUGCCAUACAUAUAUGGACAAAUAUAUCUCCCUCUAUUAAGAAUUAAGAAAUCCUACAUUCUAAUUUUAGAAACCGGUUUUAUUAGGUUGAAUUAGGUCUAAAUGUCAGCUUUAAGAUGGUAUAGAGUCUCUUCGAAAUAAUUGAUAUUGGAACAUACCUAGAAAAUAUUUUAGAAGUAUCUAACAAACCAAUUUGGAGGCAUGUACCCUUAUUUUUUGAGGCCCUGUCUGAAGGAUUGUGUUGCCCUUGCUCAGAGUUGACCCUGCGCACCACACUCAAUAAUGUUGGACAUGAGGGGGUGUGUUAAAAUGACCAUGUAUAUGAGUUUAUAAAGUAGUAUUAUUGUUAAUCAUUACUUUACAAGUCAAUUUUGCAGCGUUUAGUUAAAUUCAACUUUCAAUUCUAAUACCCUUCUUCCGUCAUUAUAAUAUAGUAUAUAAUAUAUAAUUAAAAAAAAUGAAAAUAAUAUUUUUAAGAACUUUUAAUUAUUUGUUUUUGCAUUGUUAUCGAGCGGCGCUAAGAUUCAUAUUUUUAUAAAUAUAUAUACAUCAUCAGAAGUUCAUAAUUCUAUUGCAAAACUUUGUAUAAGUAUGUAUAUGAACAAAAUCUUAUAAAACAAACAAAAGUUAUAAAGAAAAUAGAAAAGAUGGACAUUUAAUAAUUAUGAGAAAAAGACUUUACAUACUUUAAUGAAAAAUCUUAUCAUGCAAUUAUCAAAAAAGAAAGAAAAUCUUAUCAUGCAAUGAUAUUGCCACACCCUACCAAUUUAGAUUUUUUUUUUAUUAUAGAUUUUUUAAUUUGUAAAUAAUAAUCGCACAUUUAUUAGCAUUCUUUUUAUGGAAUUUACUUAUUUUUUAUGUAAAGAUUUACAGUAGUUGCUUAAAAAAAAUGUAUAGAUUUAUUGAAUGGACGUGAUGAUAUGAUAUGGAUUAUGAUGUAUGUGGAUUGUGGACGGCUAUAGAUAAUGAAAGAAGUAAGGAUAUUUUAGUUUUAGUUAUUUAAGAUUAAGAUACUUUUCCAAUCUCCACCCAAAAAAGGAGCUGAUAUUUAUACAUGCAAGCUACCAUACAAAAUGUUGUUGAAAAGUCAGUGACCAUAGCAAAUUGACAAUAAUACCAUUAUUAUAUGGCUCCUACUUCUUAUUUCAUUUUUUAUUUAUAGAUAAAUAUGUUGGUCUACCAACAAUGAAUUGAUUCAAAUGAUAAUAGUUUUAGUCACUUUAAACAUACGAUUAGUAGUUUGAUUCUUGAUUCAUGUGUAUUUAAAAAAUUGAAUUGAAGAGGAAAAACUCACCUUGUAUACCCACAAGUUCCUCGGCGAAGAUUAAUCAUCAUUAAAAACAGAUUAUUUCUUCCGUUAUAAUGUAAGAUACUAAUAUGCAUUUUUAUGUUGGGACUAACUUGAACAUAAAAAAUUAUAAAUUAUGAGAAUAAAUGGAGUGUAUUUUAUUCUAUUUUUCUAUCUAACUAUUUCCUCUAAGCUUUUUUAUAAUAAAAAAAUUUACUUUUUAGAUUCGUGAAACAUUUGAUGUACCUAUCACGUAUAAUUGUCAAAUUUGUUUAUUUUUAAGAGUAAAUUUAGUUUAUUUUUAAGGUCAAAUUUAUUAUUAUCAUCUGCCAUAAGUAUCUCUCUCGAUUAUCUCUUCUAGCAUGUAUAAUGUAAGUGAAUGCUGGUAAACGUAGAGAAUCUAUUUCCUUCUAAGUUGUGUAUUCAAUUUUUUCAAAGUUAAAAUUUUGUUUUUUUUUAAUACAAAACUUUCAUUCUAACACACGUUAGCCAUACUUGACUUUAUUUUAAGUCGAGUCUUAGUGAAGUCCGACAAAAAUUGUUCCAAUUAGAAAUCAAACUUAGAUAUCUAUUGUCGAGAGUCAUUCUAUAUUAUGUGUCAGAACACAACCCGCACGAAAACCGUCUCUGAUGACAUGCAGAUGCGCUCAGAGCAAAUUUUAAAUUCCUUGACAUAUGCAACAUCUGGGUUUGUGUUUUGGCACAAAGGAGAACGCACAUGCCAUCAUCCUCCGAAUCAAAGGCAAGCUGAGGUGUCGAACACCUCAAACCAACCCUAUGUGUUCAAACUAAUAAUUCACUUGUUGGUUGGAAUGCACGUAAGACAUCGACAAGUUUUCCUAAAUAAUCUUAUGUUUAAGAGAAGUUCAUCAACCACUUGAGACAAACCGUGUUAGACUCUUUAUUAAAGCUUUAUUUUUCUUACUUACUCGCUCCAACUAAAAAAACGCUUUCUCUCUCUAGAAGCAAAGUACUCACUCACUCCAUCAACAACCUUCUCCUCCUCGAAUCUCCCACUUUCACAUACAGACAGAUACAGAGAGGAGGGAGAGUGUGUGUGCGCGCGUCACCAGUUUUCAGUUACUGGAUUGAUUGAUUGAUUCAUUCAAAGCAUCUUUUUUCUCGGUAAUUGUCACUCACUUCAAUCUUUCUCCAUCUUCUUCUUCUUCCGUUUCACCGUCAUUAACAAUGGGAGAAUAGAGAUUCAGAUUAAUAAAUGGAAUAAAACCAAAUUCAACUAUUUACAAAUUUAAAUCAAAACUCAAAUCGUGACGUUGAUUGGAUUUAAUGUUUCUUUAGGUUCCGCUGAUGUUUGUUGAUAAUGUGAUGUGAUGACUGAGUGAGUGAUUCCUUCUCCUUGUUGCAUAGUCAUGGCUUCCGAUUCGUCCUCCCAAGGUAACGCCUCCUCCAUCACUUGCGUAUUUUCUGUUUUAUUACUUUGUUCAUCUCAAUUUCUUCUAAUUUCAGUAGAUUGAUUAUGUUCAAUUCUCUCAAAGAUUAAUCUAAUCGGUGUUAUGCUUUACGUGAUUUAACGAUCCACCUGUUGAUUAAUCUCUAUCAUAUUAUCAUGUUUUAGCAUUGUGAUUUCGAAUAACGUAUCUGAUUCAUUUUUCUGUGGAUUCAUGUAUUUUCUUUCGUUUCUGAGGCAUGGCAUGGCAUGGCAUGUCAAGGUUUUUUAUGUCUAUGCGUCCAUAAUUGCGUUAAUUCUUGUGUUUAAUUGCAAUUUUCUGCAUUAAAAUGAAUCACAAUAUUGGAUUUCUUAUCUUUAUCUAACAUAAUUUGGUCUGAUUUAAUGUCACACCACUUAAUUUAAUGAUCUGCUUGUUGAUUAAUCUCUACGAUAUCAUUUUUUAGCGUUCUGAUUUAUGACUUAUCAAAUUUAUCUGUGGAUUGAUUUUUUUUGUUGUGUUAUCUUUUUUUGGUUUAGAAUCUGUGCUAUAUAUAUAUAUAUAUCCUUUUAUUGCCAAGCUAUACAGUUAAUAUUUUAUUGAUGCAUUUCGAAGAAGAAAAGAGUCUUUGAUUAAAGUAGGCUUAUAAUUAUAUAUGCGAUGUGCUAGCAACUAAAUUAGAGGUCUAUGAAGGUGCCUAUAAAAGUCAAAGGAAGUUAAGUCCAGUUGCCUAAUUGGUUGACUUUGAUUAGUCUCCAUUACACCCAGCUUUCCAAUAUUUCUAUAUUCCAUUAUGCUUCAAGUGGUUGGGAUGUCCAUGCGAGUUGUGAUGCAAGGUCAACCAGUUACAAUUUUAUACGUUUUAUUGUGUUGUUUGCUCUUGUUUUCUUCGUUGUAUUCUAUGUAAUCAACAUUUUAGACAAAAAUAAAAUAAAAUUUGGCCCUUAACUUGUCAAAUGUGCAUGUAGAUAGAUAAAUGCAUUAUAGUUUCAUGUAUAAAGUUCAGUAUUUAUGCUUAUAGGUGUGUAAACUUUUCAAUUUCUUGAUAUUGACAUGUCUAUCAUGAAUAAGUCUUUGCUGAAAAAGUCUUGUUUCCUUCACCACUUGGAAGUUUUUAAGUUGGAAUCCUCUUAUUAUAUAUAUAAUAAUGUACUAAUAUUUGUUUUCUUUUUCCUUGAUCCUAGGUGUUGCUCUUGAUCCUUCGAAAUUUAGUAAAAUGAGUAUGGAGAGAAAAAGAGAGCUUGUAUAUGAAAUAUCUAAAGUGUCUCAUGAUGGUGCAUCCGAGAUGCUGCAGUCGUGUAGCCGUCAAGAGAUUUUGCAAAUAUUGUGUGCUGAGAUGGGAAAAGAAAGGAAGUAUACUGGCCUGACAAAGGUGAAAAUUAUUGAAAAUCUUCUAAAAAUUGUUUCCGAAAAGAAUUCAAGUGGACAUGAUAUUGCCACCGACCUUGAACCACGUUCUUUUCCUGCAAACAGUCAGAAACCGGCUAAAAGGCAGAGAAAAACUGAGAAUCCAUCUCGGUUAGCUAUUCCGGCAAACAAUGUUUUAGUCAAUAAUGGUGACGAUGCGAGUAAUAAUACUACAUACUGCAAAAACUCAGCAUGCAAGGCUACCCUAAAUCAAGCAGAUGCAUUUUGCAAAAGAUGUUCAUGUUGUAUUUGUCAUCAAUAUGAUGACAACAAAGACCCUAGUCUGUGGUUAAUAUGCAGCUCUGAAGCUCCAUUUCCCGGUGUUUCCUGUGGCUUGUCAUGCCACCUUGAGUGUGCUUUAAAACAUGCUGGUUCUGGAAUUGGCAAAGACGGUGAACAUCCUAAACUUGAUGGAGGCUUCUACUGUGUCUCAUGUGGGAAAGUAAAUGAUUUACUUGGGUAAGUUCUAAACUUAUGUAAUUGAUUUUCUUAGAUGAAAUCGUUUAUCCAUUUAUAAGCUUCUCUUUUAUUUUUUCCCCGUUUUUCUCUGACUUGGUCUUCAAGUCUUUUCUACACUUGAAGCUUUGUGUUCAUGCAAAUCAUUGAUAUUAUUAGUAUUAAAGAUGGUUAUAUUUAGUAAUUUGUUGUUUGCAAGAUGCAUCAAAAUAAACAAUGACUAAAGAAAUAAGUUCAGAGUCUUGGAAAUUUUUCAUGCUAAAGUCUUCUCCUUCUUCAUGCUAAAGUUUCUUAACGGACCAUUGAAAAUCUAUCUCUCCGUUUGUAAUCCUUUUCUCCUUUUUCUUGGGCUUUCAGGUUUUAUAUAUAAUCAUAUCAUUUUUUAAUUCAUGAUUUGCUUUAAACAUUCAUAGGACUGCCAUAUCAAGAUUAUUAGUAUUAUGUAUGAUCGGCAUUGUGGAAGAGAAAGACUUAUAAACUGUUGAAUGUUCUUUUGCUUUGCUAUAGUGAUUACUGAACUCUACUCAACACAGUGUGGGGAAGAUAUUGCUGUUAUUCAAUCAAAAGAUUGUAAAUUAUUUACUUCAUUAUGUGUGGGUUGCACUAUAAUCAUUUUAGAAUGAUUUUUGAAAAAUCUGUAGGGUAUCUACAAUCUCAUCUAAGCUUGUUUCAUAAAUGUAUUAGAUGCUGGAGAAAACAACUGAUGGUAGCAAAGGAUGCCAGACGUGUGGACAUACUAUGCUAUCGUGUCUCCUUAAGUCAAAAACUUUUGCAAGGGACUGAAAUGUAUGGAGAACUUUAUGAAAUUGUUGAUCAAGCAGUGAAGAAACUUGAACCGGAGGUGGGUCCACUGACUGGCUCACCACUGAAGAUUGGUAGGGGGAUUGUGAACAGGCUUUCUUCAGGACCUGAGGUUCAGAAACUUUGUGGUGUUGCUCUUGAAUCACUUGAUUCAAUGCUUUCUAAAAGGAUCUUGCCUCCGACGCCCAAUCCAACUAUUCAAGGUGUUCAUUCACUCUUUUUACAAAAUAUCAUGCCUUUUUCACUGGUUUUUAAAAUUAGACGAUGAUCCAUGUGACAUUGUAAAUGUGUUCUAUGGAACCAACUGCUCUACUACUUUCAUUUAUGGUAAUUGAUAUAAUGGUAUAGCUUUAUUAGUGUAUUAAGGAGAAAUUAAUUUUGUAUGAAUGGAUUUUAUAUUUAAGAAUGUUUGCCCACAAGUAAUUUUGAGUAAUUCACAUGUACCUUCUGGUAAUUGGUGGAGGUAAAAAAAUAAAAACUUUUAACCACAUGUGACAGUGUUAACUAACUUUUGGGACAUACAGUGACAUCCGGGAUUGACAUGAAAACUUAAAUUUUUGACCUUUGAGAUUAUAUUUAUGUAUAUGUACUUAUACUAUUUGAUUUUGUUUUGAAUUUUUUUUUUGACGAAGAUUUUGUUUUGAAUUUAUUAACUAUAAUAUUGCAAAAAAUUGUUAGCAGAUUGAAUUUUUGCCAUUGUGUUCACUCUCUCAAAUAAGGUAAUUAUUGAUCAGUCUGUGUCUACAGUUUCAGAUGGAAGUUUACUAGGGCCAAAUAUGGUGAGGUUUGAAGAUGUCACUGCAACAUCCCUCACUGUUAUUUUGUGUUUGGAAGAUCCUUCUGGAGAAAAUAAUGCUGGUUACGCCGUGUGGCAUCGCAAGGCUGAUGAUGUGAACUAUCCAUUGGACCCAACUUGCAUGAAUCUCCUACCAAAUAGAAGACUCGACAUCAGGGAUUUACUUCCAGCUACAGAAUACAGUUUCAAAGUUGUUUCCAAUGAUUUGAGGAAGUCAGGUAUCUGCGAAGUUCAAGUCUCAACAGAGCAUGGUGAGGAUGAAGUCCCAAAUUGUUCAGCAACGGAAAGAAGUCAGAGCCCAGUAACCAACUGUAGCAGUCUUUCCAAUCCAUCAUCAGUGGAAGAUGAAACUAAUCAUAGCGACCAGACCGACAAUCGAUCAGAUAAUUAUCCUAUUUAUCACAAGGAUAGCAACCAGCUUGCUUCUGAAAAUUUAUCUAAUGAUGCUAUUAACUGUUCCAAUUUGGGCGGAGUGGGACGUCCAACUGAUGCAGAUUCCUUGUCAGACAAGCAGGUUGCUGUAGGAAUGACCGGCACUAUACCUAGUUCUGAUGCACUAAAGCUUGAAAACAAGCAUUCGGGAGAGGAACAAGUAACCGAGGACAUGAGCACCGAUGAUGGGUCAGUUCCAACAGGAAGGGAAUGUGUUCCGUUAGCAGGUACCUCAAAAGGGGGAUUGCCUAAUACUCCUGGCAGGUUGGAAUUACUUAAAGAUGGUCCGGGAAGAAAAGGCAGAUCUAAAUUAAGUGGCAAAGAUCUAGAAAAUGGAUCUGGGAAAAGGGGUGGUCCUCGAGAUGGAAGCACAUCCAAGAAGAGAAGUGGUGAAAGGCAAGGCGAAGGCUGCGAGGGAAAUGGUUUUCCGGAUCGGGAUUUCGAGUAUUAUGUGAAGGUGAUUAGAUGGUUAGAGUGUGAAGGACACAUAGAAAAGAACUUCAGACAGAAAUUUCUGACUUGGUACAGCUUAAGAGCAACCCCUGAAGAAAUAAGGAUUGUGAAAAUAUAUGUAGAUACAUUUCAUGAAGAUCCGGCUUCUCUUGCUGAGCAACUUGUGGACACCUUCUCAGAUUGUGUAUCAAACAAGAGAUCAUCGGUUCCUGCAGGGUUCUGCAUGAAGCUUUGGCAUUGACCAGAUUUUGUAGGUCCGGCUACUAGCCUUGAAGCUUGAAGCUCUCUUGGGUUGUGAUGAAGUAAUUCUUUAGAUUUAUAAUAGUCUUCAUUUAGAUUGUCAUCAAUUAUAUUAAUUUCAACAUCGUCAUUCAUAUUUUAGAUUUACUUAAAUUAUACAAUUAUUACUAUUUCAAAUUGAUAAAUUAUCAGUGGAUGACAUUGAAGGGUUUUAUGCUGAACAUGGUCAAAGUAGACAAUAAUGUUCUUUUAAUGUUAAUGGAUUUGUCCAUAAAUUCAUAAUUCCAUAAGUCAAAUAUCAAUUUCAAAUCUUGAAUUUCAGUUGUAUGUUGAUGAAAAUUGGUUCGAGCGUGAACUUUUUACUAUUUUGGUACGACUUUGAUUGAAAUCUAUGCAAAAUGCGGAUAUGCUAAUACAUGGAAUGCUGUGAUCUUCGGAAAUUUGAUCUGAUAUGAAAUUGAAUCCUAUACACACAGUUGUAGGGACUUUUAGAUUUAAAGAGAUAAAUUUUUCUCUCUCUCUAUAUAUAUCUAAAGAGAAUUCAAUUCAGGUCCGGUCGAUCUUUUGGAUUUAGGCGCCAGAUAAGAAUCUGUUGGCCCUUUAAAAUCUCUGUUGGAAUGAUAAAGGAUAGUACUCAAACCAAAUGCAAUGACUUUUUUCUAUGUAGUUCUAGCUGCAUGUAGGUAAUCACAAAUAUCUGAUUAAAGCAUGGUGUUUAUUUUGACGUAUGAAUAAAAUAUAUGGCAUCCCAUACGGCCAUUCUCACUAUCCAUUGAGCACUAUAUAUGCAAUGCAUGGUUGAGAUUUUUUGGUUUUAGAUUUAGGACUUAGAACACCCACAGUAUGUGGCACAUCCAACCAAACUUGUCUUCAGUGCACCAAAAAGACCAAAAGAAAAACAUUGGGAGGAAUCUUUUGUAUAUUUUAUUCAAACUAUGGCUUUCUUCGACUUGGUGGCACAGCACCAGGAAUUGGCGGGACCCUACUCUCCAAAGAUUUACAAAAAUUGUUAAAUAUAAAGGGUAUGUUAGCAUAAAGCAACUUUUGUAUCUUGAUAUCAUGGAUCUCACUAUUCCAUAAACUCGUGUGGUCAAUACGUUUUUUUACCGUUGAAUUAAGAUUGAACGGUCUGCAUGUUCUGUGAGUUGUUUGAUCUGAAUUCAAUAUUUUUCGAGCUCAAUGUUUUUUAAUUUUAAAAAUAUCAAAAUCUGCAUAUUCUGUGAAUUGUUUGAUCUGAAUCCAACAUCACCAAUGUAUAUAUUACGUGAAUGAAGGAAUAUCUCAACCGUGAAUAUCUAUAAGAGGGUAAAAAGACAUCCUUUUGAUCUUCUAGUUCUUUUAUGAAAGGUUUAAUUAGUCUAUUGGUUCCUUAAAGACAUUUUAGGUUUCACAAUGGUCCCUUUUAAAAAAAAAAGACUCAGAUUGGUCCCUUAAAGAAAAAAAUAUCUGGAUUGGACCCUUAAAGACAUAUAUGUUUGUCAUAUUGGUCCUUUCUGUUAAAUUUUAACUCCAAAUAUAACAAAAAAUUCCAAUGGUUAAAAUUUUAAAAAUUAAUAAGGUUUUUGGUAAACCACUUACACUUAAUGGCAUCCACAAUCCAGUCAAUUAAAACUAACGCUUUAUGUAAAAAAUUGACAGAAAGGACCAAUUGAGAAACAAAUGUGUCUUUAAGGGACCAAUCCGAACCUUUUUUUUUUAAGGGACCAUUGUAAAACCUAAAAUGUCUUUAAGGGACCAAAAGACUAAUUAAGCCUUUAUGAAAUUAUUCUCUCAUCCUUACAUGCAUGACUUUCUUUGUCUCCUUUAUGCAAUUUUUAAUAGUUUCUUUUGGUUGUUUUUAAUUACACAUUCAAAAGGGAGGGUAGAGGUAUUGUACAUGGUAUUAGUUACAUGGGCCACAUUAUUAAAAUAAUCUAACAGGGUAAUUAUUGUACUUUUUUUUACAAUUGAUUAAAUCAAUGCAUUGUUCCUAAUUAAACUCUCCCUUCUUAUACUAUUAACACAUCACUCAGUAUCAUUCCUUUCUGGCGGAUGCUAGCAUGGGAAAGGCUCCUAGGUCUCCCACCAUGGGAAAAUUACAUGAGCCGUUGGAUUAGCAAUCUUAUGAUGUACUGCUUCUAGAUGAUAAUUUUUUUUCUCUCUCUUUUCAUCAUCUCUUUCCUCUAGGUGUUUUCUGUGUGUUUUCGUUUCUUUUUAACUUCAAAUCAAUAUUAAUGCAAAAAUCUCCCAAUUUUAUUUCUAUUAAAUUCAUUGAAAUUUCAAACUAAUCAAUUACUAGAUCUAUACAUCAUAAAAUAUUCAUGAGUGAAUAGAAAAGUUCAACCAANNNNNNNNNNNNNNNNNNNNNNNNNNNNNNNNNNNNNNNNNNNNNNNNNNNNNNNNNNNNNNNNNNNNNNNNNNNNNNNNNNNNNNNNNNNNNNNNNNNNNNNNNNNNNNNNNNNNNNNNNNNNNNNNNNNNNNNNNNNNNNNNNNNNNNNNNNNNNNNNNNNNNNNNNNNNNNNNNNNNNNNNNNNNNNNNNNNNNNNNNNNNNNNNNNNNNNNNNNNNNNNNNNNNNNNNNNNNNNNNNNNNNNNNNNNNNNNNNNNNNNNNNNNNNNNNNNNNNNNNNNNNNNNNNNNNNNNNNNNNNNNNNNNNNNNNNNNNNNNNNNNNNNNNNNNNNNNNNNNNNNNNNNNNNNNNNNNNNNNNNNNNNNNNNNNNNNNNNNNNNNNNNNNNNNNNNNNNNNNNNNNNNNNNNNNNNNNNNNNNNNNNNNNNNNNNNNNNNNNNNNNNNNNNNNNNNNNNNNNNNNNNNNNNNNNNNNNNNNNNNNNNNNNNNNNNNNNNNNNNNNNNNNNNNNNNNNNNNNNNNNNNNNNNNNNNNNNNNNNNNNNNNNNNNNNNNNNNNNNNNNNNNNNNNNNNNNNNNNNNNNNNNNNNNNNNNNNNNNNNNNNNNNNNNNNNNNNNNNNNNNNNNNNNNNNNNNNNNNNNNNNNNNNNNNNNNNNNNNNNNNNNNNNNNNNNNNNNNNNNNNNNNNNNNNNNNNNNNNNNNNNNNNNNNNNNNNNNNNNNNNNNNNNNNNNNNNNNNNNNNNNNNNNNNNNNNNNNNNNNNNNNNNNNNNNNNNNNNNNNNNNNNNNNNNNNNNNNNNNNNNNNNNNNNNNNNNNNNNNNNNNNNNNNNNNNNNNNNNNNNNNNNNNNNNNNNNNNNNNNNNNNNNNNNNNNNNNNNNNNNNNNNNNNNNNNNNNNNNNNNNNNNNNNNNNNNNNNNNNNNNNNNNNNNNNNNNNNNNNNNNNNNNNNNNNNNNNNNNNNNNNNNNNNNNNNNNNNNNNNNNNNNNNNNNNNNNNNNNNNNNNNNNNNNNNNNNNNNNNNNNNNNNNNNNNNNNNNNNNNNNNNNNNNNNNNNNNNNNNNNNNNNNNNNNNNNNNNNNNNNNNNNNNNNNNNNNNNNNNNNNNNNNNNNNNNNNNNNNNNNNNNNNNNNNNNNNNNNNNNNNNNNNNNNNNNNNNNNNNNNNNNNNNNNNNNNNNNNNNNNNNNNNNNNNNNNNNNNNNNNNNNNNNNNNNNNNNNNNNNNNNNNNNNNNNNNNNNNNNNNNNNNNNNNNNNNNNNNNNNNNNNNNNNNNNNNNNNNNNNNNNNNNNNNNNNNNNNNNNNNNNNNNNUCAAAUUCAGGAAAAUUUCGGUUAACAGAAACCGAAUUUUUUUUUCAAGGCAAAAAAAAUUCGGUUCGUAGAAACCGAAGUUUUUAUUGAAGGGCAAAAAAGUAAAAUUCAGAGGGUGAAAAAGAACCAUAGGGCCUAAAGAGAAAAUAUCAUAAAAAUAUUCCGUGUAACAAAAGCAGCCCAUAGAUUUAGAUUUUAGCGUGCAUCCCUUGAUUUGGCAGAGAUGUGAAUAGUGUGUCUGCAUGAUUAAGGAUCAUAAACAAUUAUUUGGAAUAAGCACUUAUGUUAAUUGGUUACGUCUUAUAAGAAAACCAGACCCUGGUUUCCUAGGAACCGAGGUUUCAAUGUGGUCCUUUGAGUCGUUAAAAAAAAUAAAAGAAUGGCAAGUGCAGGUGUCAACGUUGGAUAUCUGUGUAGGACACACUUGAAAACCAUGUCCCUUUCUUCAUCCCUUUUAUUUAUUAUUUGUAUUAUUGUCGCCAAAACUGGUCACUAGGUCAAUCGAUACAGGUCUUUUCACUACAAAUUUACAAGAGAAAAGUUAAUACAAAUAUGGCAAAUUGGAAGCAGGUUACAUCAUGUUCAACACUUUGCUUUCAUUCUCCAGAAACAGUUGCGCAAUCUAUUUCAUAUAGUAAUACAAAAUAUGGCAAAUUUGUAAUGCACGUCACAUCAAAAUUGAUAACCCUCCACAUCCACUGGUCAUGAUAUUGCAGUUCAUUCACAUACUGUACCUCUCAUAGUACAAGACAUGCUUUCAAUAUUAGUGUGACGAAUUCUUUGGUAAUCCAGAUCAAGAGUAAUUAGUAUUGUGCUAUGUAUCAUAAAAAUGUGAAUAAGCUCGAGUAUAUUGCAUAAAAACCAUUAGUUUAUAUCGGAGUUAACAAAUUAUUUCAAUGCUACUAUUUAACUACCCCUUCUGUUCCAAAAUACUUGGUUAUUUUGCAGAAACCAAGAAAUAGCUUUAAUUAAUAAGUAAAUUUCAAAUAUACUCUAACCUUUAAUUGACCAAUUUACUCUCUUUUAAUGUAAGUGUAGAACAAUUGAUAAGGCCAGAGUAUAAUUAACAAAAAGGUAGUUAAUAUAACCUUGUAAGUUUGACAAACGGCGCAUAAAUACGAAUAAUGUUUUUGUUAAAAACCGACAAUCAAAAAGGAACCUUGAGAGUUGCUUACACUGGACAUAUUUGGUCUCAAGGUGGUGAGUUAAGAGACAUCAAAUAAGUACCAACCAAAAGAUCCAAAUUACAGACCCUACAAACUAACACUGACAUUUGUCUAUCCAAAAAAUUACACGGGACAGUGAGCUGAAGGUAGCAUAGGGCAUUAAUUCAAUACAAUUAGUGUGUAAAAAAACAAGAGAAACUCUUACAAUCCUUCUUCUUUAGUCCCACCAACUGUUUCUGGCUCCAAGCUUCCCUAUGAUUGAACCGCCACCAAAACAUAUAUUACCUAUAUGCAGUGAACAAUGGCACCGAAACUUGAUUAAGCAAAGAAAAUGAUUUAUUGGGCAUAAAGUAUUUUAUAAAAUACACACAAACAAGUAAAAUGAAGAAGACAGCAUCUGCAAUUUGUAUAAAAAUGAAAAAAGGCUCAUUUCAUUCAUAAGCAUCACAUGGUUGGUUAUUUGAAUGAUUGUAACAAUAUCCUAGAAAUCAAUUCAUGCAAAAUCGCACUACUCUCGAGUAAAACAAGCAGCUGCAUAAACAGACAAUUCUGUAGUAUAACUUUUUCAUUUGUUAUACCUAAAAGACAUGUGACUAGCGUGGGUGUAAACAAGUAAAAAUAUUCAGCCUAGAAUAUUAGCAUACAAUCUUUCAAAAUUUAGGAAGACCGAGUAUGCAAAUGAAGAAUAUAACAGAACACAUCGUCUCAAAGGGAUAUAAUAAAGUAAUAAACACACAUUAAACAAGGAUUUCUUAGCAGUGAUAUAAAAAAUAGCAACUAUCCUUAUUGUCAGUCAUGUUAUCUCCAGAAAUAACAUAGCAUCUUUCCCAAAUAAAACCCCAGAAAUAAAAUAAAUGCAUUCCAGCAGUGAGCCCGAUGAAUGAGUAACCGUAUCAGCAAGAUAUAUAGUUAUUAUUGUCAUUACACCCUACCACAAUUUACUUCUUUUUUUUCUCGUCGUUUGCAAUCUCUCUCAAGUCUCCAAUUUUAAACAAAGCAUCUGGGAAAUAUAAGUUUAUUCUACAGUCAUAAAUAACAAACAGUAAUACUUUGAAUUCCCUACCCUAAUGUUCGCAGCACACAAAUUCCCUCCGACACACAUCAAUAGUCUACUACAUUGCAUGUCCAAGUAUGAGGUAGACAAGAAUAUUUCACCUGCUUACCCAUCCUAUGGUAUUUGUUUCUAGUAGAAACAUAGAAGCUCUGAAAAUAUCACCGAAUGAUUGAUCUAUGGUUGUUUAGUCCAUCAACUACUCUAACUAUUGCACUAUUCUCCAUUUGGUCUACCUUCCUAACAAGUGCUUUUGCACGACUUCUAAAAACAUGCCCAAUCACUCAAACUUGAGACAUUACAGUCUUUGUGCAAAUCCAUUCUUAUAUUCUCAUCUUUACAGCAUUGAGUUUACCUUGUUAGCUUCUUACCGCCAACAUUUUGAGGCCUGUUUGGAUUGGUUUAUUUGAACUUAUCUACUGACAUAAGUUUUGUGAGACUGUUUGGGAGAACUUAUGAAAACAGUAUAUGACACUGUUCAUAAGUUGUUUUCAUCUUAUAUUCAUAAGUUCUCCAAGAUAGCUUAUGGAAACAACUUAUAACUCAUACGAAAACAAUUUAACUUUAUUUUAACUUUUGCUAUAGAAAUAGUUUAUACAUGAGCACUUGCCAUUUAUUAUGCUAUAAACUACAAAAAAGUUGUUUAUCCAAACAGGACCUUAGUCUCAUACAACAUUGUAAAUCGAAUAGUUGCACGGUAAAAUUUUCAUUCAAACUUGAGUAGCAAUUAUCAAUCAUAAAUUAUACAUAGAAGAACAAAGUAGAAUGGUAUUUGAUUUUCCAUUCGAACUCGACUAGCACUUAACUAUCACAAAAUACAAAUACAAGAACAAAGUAGAAUGGUAUUUGAUUUUUCACACCUCAGUCCUCACCUCUCACAUCUGAAUCUUCUCUUUGUACAAAUGUGGAAUGGAGGCAUGGAGACUGAACUAGCUCAACUUAUAAAGGGAAUUAAAAGACGAAAUCUGAAUAAAACACAAAACUAGGAAUAUAUAAUUGGCCUAAACACUUCAUUCAUAAUCAUCCAAACCUCUCCCACUGUGAUAUUACUCGCAUUGGGAUACUGUAAACACGUCAAAAUUGUUUUUUUAUAAAAGAAAUUCAUUAUACUACACGUAUUACGACAGGACUCUAAGAAUAUAAGAUAUCGCUACUCUCACCAAUUGUAUGCUUUUCGCUUAUUACAAUGACCUAUCCGCUGUGUUGGAAAUUUAAAUCAACCAAGAUGUAUAAAAUUUGAAGAAUUGCUUCCAAAAUAGAGUGGACAAUAUGAACUUGUGUAAUAAUAGUAAAAUGUAUGUGAGUUGAUUUUUGAGAAUAAUGUACUUUUAAGGGUAAGUUUGAUUGGAGAGUAACAGAGGUUUAAUUUCUAAAGGUUCAAAAUUUACUGAUUGUUGUGUUUUACGUUUUAGCCUAGGGAAGACCAAGUAAUUUAUUGCAGAACUCGUCAUUUUGGGGAUAAUAGUUACCAUUGUCAGGGGUGUGGCAAAAGAGGAUAUAAAAUAAAAUCCAAACAGCAACCACAAUCCAUGGUGAUUAGAGAAGAAGACGAGGUGAACUAGAAGAANNNNNNNNNNNNNNNNNNNNNNNNNNNNNNNNNNNNNNNNNNNNNGAGUGCCGGUCGCCGGAGUACCUUUAAAGAUUAAAGCACUAACCCAACCAAUCGCAAGAUAGCCAUUGAGCCAUUAAGGAUAAAACAAAUUGAUAACACUCUAGUCUAGCAUUACCAGAGUACUGAUAACUAUUAACCGUAACAAGAUGGAGCUAAUCGCGAGCUAUUCAUACAUGCUAAACUAUAGUAUAAUACAUAAAAAGAAUGAGACACUCCACAAACAAAUAAUAGCAAUACCUAAAAUUUUAGCUCCAACACAAAAUGAGUCAAUUGAAGACAUUCAGUUAAUCAUAUUGAUAAUCUGUAAGAGGAAAAUAAUUCAACUUUAAAUGAUUAAACCAUAUGCUAAAUUAAGCUAAACCCUAACCUAAUGACAAUUGAAAAUCAUGAAAUUUGAAAUAAACCCUAAUAUAUCAUAAUUUGGGAGAAAUAGAAAAAUUGAACAGACCUUAGGAAGGAAGCAAAACCUAACGAUUCUUUUCAGCAGGCAAUGGACGAUUGAAGCCGCCANNNNNNNNNNNNNNNNNNNNNNNNNNNNNNNNNNNNNNNNNNNNNNCUCUAAUGCCGCUGACGUCAGCACCAGGUACCGGUUUUCCCUUGGUGGAAUCAAAACCAGUAGGAAUCCCCAUCAUCUUCAUCAUCUCAAUCUCGUCUUCAUUCAUCUCAACUUCUUCUCCAUUCUCUUUCUGCUUCUCUUGUUGUUCCUUGGCGAUUCCGUCGACGAAAUCAGACACCACUUUCUUAGUUUCUUUGUGGUCGUCAUCGACGGAGUCUCGCCGGUGACGCUUUCUGGGAGGGUCGGGGGAAGGUGUUCGGUGGUGGCGUCGACGGUGGGAACGGUCGACGGGAGAUCGGGAGCGUGAGUGGCGAGAGCGUCCACGCUCAGGUGAACNNNNNNNUCGCGAUCGUCUUUGUCUCGUCUACGGUCUCUUUCUCUGUCACGGUGGCGGUCACGGUCGCUCAUGGUGGUGGAAGAUAGGGUUUAGAGUUCAUAGUUCAAUUUGGCAAAACCCUAUAAUAAUAAUAAUAAACAUUUUUGCUCCCUUUGGUUUUUGGAGUAACUAGCAAGGUGUAAGAGUAAACUUUAUCUCUCACUUUAGGCGUAUUGGAUUGAGAUUUUAUGAGACAAUUUUGACAAAAAAAAAAGUUUUGAUGAUUUUAUGAGAUUUUGUUGGACUACAUUGAUUUUAUGAGACAAUUAAAAACUUUUUUACAAGACUUUUUUAUAAUCAAGAUUUUUAACACAUGAUUUGAAUGAACUUUGAGGUAUUUUUUUCAAAAGAAUUUUUACAAUCAAGAUUUCAUAAUACUUUAUAUAUUAGGAAACUUUUGUAUAUUAGAAAAAUUUUAAAAAAAUCAAAAAAAUUUAAUAAAAAAAAUUAUAUUUUUUUGGGAAUCCAAAAACAAAAAAAAAAAUCUUUCUCUUUCUUUCUUUUUUUACGUAUAAACAGCAAUAGCAACGUUUGAAUAUAUCUUUCUCUCUCUCUCAUACACAAAUUGCUUCUUUUUUCCAUUUAAAUCCAAACGUUGUUGGCUUAUAUUAAAAAAUUGGGAAAUUCGAAUGGGAGUUAAGAAACAAUAUAAGCUUGUGCUGAUUGCUGAAUUUGUCAACAGCAAAAUGACUUAUGUUGAAUCUAGCACCGUUCAAGAAGAAAACAAAAAGUGAGAAAGAGAAAUCAUGAAGAUGGAGAAGAACACCUUUGAUUUAUAGAUAAAAAGAGAAUACUAACUGUCUCAAUAUCAAAACAAGAAGAAAAUAUUGUUUUAAUACAUUCAAGUUCAACACAGAUUUUUGGGUUUAGAAAAAUAUGAGUCACUUUAUGGGUUUAGAGAAAAAAGAAGAAAAAUAUAUUUUUGGUUUAUUUUGUUUUUUUGUUUUAGUCCCUCUUUGCAAUUUCAUUUUUGAAUUUGGUCUCUCUAAGUGGAUGACUAGACAUCAUCAUUGACACAUCAUCCUCGUUUUCCAUAUCACAUACUGCCACGUCAGCCUCCAUUGGCCACAUCAUUAUUUUUGAAUUGAAACUUAACGUUAUGGACUAAAAUCAAAAUAAUUUGCACAUUUAAGGACUAUUUUAAAACAAAAAAGAUAGAGGGACGAAAAUAAAAAACUCACGAACUUACGGGGACAAAUUGAAUAAGAAAAAGACAGGACAGGCAGGGGAUGAAAUUUGAUCCUCUCCAUUUUUUUUUAUGUUUUUAUUUUAGAUUUUUAUUUAUCUCUUAAAAUUUUGGGACCUAGAAAAGAAAACUCACAUUCAUGAUCUAGGCUAAGAGAUACACACUGUCUAAUGCCAAAACCUCACAUUCACUACGUUAUUUUUUACCUAAUCAUCAGAAUGUUUGCAAAAUUGCAGCUACACCCCCACUUUUGGGAGUUGUCGUUUAACACUAGUCCAUCAUCAACAAUAAUUGUAGUUACUUCAAGUUAAAGAUCUCAACCCGGAAAGGAUUAACCCACAAUAUAUGUUUUUCAUAUUUCACCAAUUAGAGGUCAAACUUUAGACCGUUGGACGCAAUAACGCCCAAAAAAGUAAAAAACUACACGAAGAUUAAACGAAGGACAAAUAUAAUCUCAUUACAUCAGUGAAAAACAUGUGUCUAUACUGAGAUGGACACACCACAUAAAAAUAGGUAUAACAAUCCAAAAAACAUUCAUGAUUAGCAAACACAUCUGUGCAUUGGUUCGCUUCGCAAAAGAAAUGUUAACAACAAUCUCACACUUGAAAUCUAGCAACAACAUAAAAUUUUAAAAUAUAUUCUGUCAACAAACAAUACAUUUGAAAUACAAAAAUAUGCAACUUUAUAUACAUAUGGGCAGAGCUAUAGGCCCAGCAAGUCUGACCAGUUGCCUUGGCUCUGACCAAAAUUUUGCCAUUUUAAAGCGUUAAUUUAGGAUAAAAUUAACUGAGAUUUUUAAGGGUUAGUUUAGGAGGAAAUUGAGAUUUUUUGUUUAAAAUUGAAAUUUUUAGGAAUUAAUUUAUGACAAAACUGAUAUUUUUUGUUGAACUAUUUAUAAUUCAAACUCUAUAAUUUUUAUGGCUCCGCUAAUAUAUAUAUAUAUAUGUUGUAUUGUUCUCUAGACAUAUAGCCUCGUUGAUGGAAUCAUCAAGACAUACUCCACUAGAUAAUUUUAUAGUAUUUAUUUAAGGAGUUUGAUUGAUUAGUUAUUUUCCAAAUUUUGAUUUUGGGGUGUGUAAACUUUUUGUUCCUUAGUGAUUAAUUAAAAUACUGAUGAAAGGCAUACACCUACCACAACAAUAACAAUAAGUCCUUAUGUGAAGCUCGUGAAGAAAGGAUUGCAUAUAAUCAUGCUAGAAUUUUCAUUGGAGACUGUUCUUGUGUGUGGUCUUAGCAGAGCAACUUUAAUGGCUAAAAGUGACCACACUCGCAUGUUUGCAUGCAUAAGGUACUAGAAAGUGACUUUGUCUCUUCCAACUUCCCAGAUUAUGGUGGAAGACAUGCAUAACUAAUUAACAUAUAUGCCACAUUGGUUCUGCUGCAGCAUGUAUAUGUAAUGUGGUCCUAUAAAAUACUACUAUGCUUCGUGCACUAAUCCAUGGUAGAUGUGCUACGAAAAGUAGAUCUGUUGAACCUCGUGAGUGUGUUUAUUUUAAAUAAUAAAUACUAUGACCCAUGAUAAAAAAAAUUGGUUAUGAGGUGGGAUUGUUAUCUGAUUAAACUAGUUGAAUUAAGAGUUAAAGAAGUUUGAGGUUCAUGGUUAAGUCCUGACAAGAAGAAAAAAUAACAUAAUAUUGUAAUAAGUAAAUUUCAGUUACUUCGAAAGAUCAAUCUAUGCAAUUAUGCGCUGAAACAAAUUAUCUUAGUAGUUUAUAAAACAAAAUACAUUAUAGAGAUAGAUUAAAUAAUGAAAUCAUCUUUUGUUUGUUUUUCAUACCUCCGCCAUUAUUUAUUUGGGUUAAUGAUUAACCUUAUGACAUAAUGUCCCUUAUUAUUGCUUGAACCAGUUCAAUUAGACAAUUAUAUUCUUACACACAGUUUAAUUGGUCUCUAUCGGAUUUUAUUUUUUUUGGCAGACUCUAUUUGGUGUUGUUAUUAGCUGGUGUUGGAAUGUAUUCGGUAAUGUGACAUUAAUUAUUUUGAUUAUUCUCAAAAAGACAUGAUUAAAGUAAUAAAUAAAAGAUUUGUGGUUUAACUGCUACACAUAUAAAGUGGUUAGGUCUUUAUUCCUCCACUAUUCAUGUAAACAAUUUUUCUGUUUCAUGCAUGUUUCUUUUUAGCGUCUUUUCCAUUUAAAUAACUUCCCUACUUUACUUUAUAAAUAUGGUUUAAUAUCCACUAAAAGAUACGGAUUCUGCAUUAGGAAAAAUUGAGGAGAUAAAAAUGUACCUGACUAAUCAAUUUCAUAUGCUCUAAUUAAAUGUUCCAAAUCACUUAACAUUCAUUGAAAAAAAGUUCUCUUUAUCAAUUCUAUAAUGUUGUGAUGACUCGGGAAAAAUAUUAGGUCAAAUGUUUCAGAAUUACAAGAGAGGAAAAUAUCAUAUAUCUAUUUAAAAUUUUAAGUCAUUAGGUUAAUGUAUCAACUUGGAUCUAAUACCACUUGUUGGGAGUCCAUGGAGCUCGGGAGAAACAUCAGGUCAAAUGCGAGGAAGACGCCACAUCUCCACCCAAAACUUUAAAAUAUUGGGUUAAUGAUCAACGCUCUUAUAAAUUCAACAUUCUUCUCAUUUAUAUUCGAUGUGAGACUUAAUCACUUACACUUGAAAUCCAAUAGCAAUUUUACUAGAUGUAUAGUAAUUAAUUGUUUGAGAUAACUCGAAUUUAAAUUUUGAUUACAUCAAUUGUCGAUCAAAUUUUACUUAUUUUCAGCCAUAUCUCAAAUUAUAAAAGUUUCCUUCAUCUAGAAACCACAUGAUUAAGAUUAAAAAAAAAAAAAAAAANNNNNNNNNNNUUUUCAAGAAUGUUUUUUCCUUAUUUUCAUAAAAUUAAAUGCAAAUUGCAUUUAAUUUAUUCUCUCUCUCAUUUUCUCAAUAAACAACAACCAAUAAAAAUUGUUUUUACAUCUUCCUAUGCAACUUAUUCUAAGGAAAACCCACAAAAACAUACUUCAAAUUCACAUGUUUUACUUUUUCUUAAUAAGUGUGAUUUUUUUAUUUUCUCUUAUAAUUUGGGACGGAGGGAGUAUUUUAUUUUAGUUAACCUUCUUCAAUGACUAACCAUGUAGAGCUACUUUGUAUUGAAAGAUAUAGAAGCAACUUUUUACCUACAGCUGAUUUUGUAUCAUAAAUACGAAGCAGUUUACCUGAACCAUUACCAUAUUUGGGUAUCACUAAUUACAACAUUUACAAAUUAGUGAAAUUACAAGUACCAACGACAUCACCCUUAUAAACUGACAUAUAAUAAGCUUCCAUCUAUUUUUCCUUGUGUCAUCUGAAAAUAAGCUUGUUGUUUUUUUAAUCAUUGACUUCAAAAUGAUAAAACGUGAAAAACGAAAUUAAUGAAAAGAAACAAUAAAAACCCAAGAAUUUAUUAACAAAAUAUUUUGUUACAUCACUAAUUGAAGAAUUAGUCACGGAGCAUGCAUCUCUCAAGUAACUAAGAUAUUAAGAUGGCAUGGUUAGCAACUAUUGCUACAAUUACUUAUAAUAAUAAUGUCACGGGUCAAAUUUUUGAAUUAAUCGUCUCGUAAUUCAGUUGAUAGAAACAUCGUAUUAUAUAUGAAAAUUAAGAUCCGAAUAUAAAAUUCUCUACUUAUGAAUUAACCAAAUUCAAUUCAAACCUUUUUAUUUUAUUUCAAAGAGCUUAUCCGUAAAAUCCACUCAUACUUUAGCUUAUAGGCUAUAAACUAAAAACUAUAAGUUAGCUUAUUUGUCUUCCCAAACAGAGCCUAAGUAUAGAAAAUAAAAUUACUCCUUCCGUACCAAAUUAUAAGUCACUUUAAGAAGAAAAAAAUUGUACCGAAUUAUAAGUCGUUUUACGAUAUCAAUGAAGUAUUUAUGUUAUUUUUUCUAUUAUACAAUUAAUUAUUUAUUACUCUAUUCUUUCAAUUAUUCAAUUUAUCUUUUCCAUACAAUUAAUGAAGGACAAUUUUGUAAAUUAACUAAUAAUUUUUUCUUUUUCAUACAACAUUAAUUACGGAAAUUUGUAUAAUAUGAUUAAAACAACUUAUAUUUUGANNNNNNNNNNNNNNNNNNNNNNNNNNNNNNNNNNNNNNNNNNNNNNNNNNNNNNNNNNNNNNNNNNNNNNNNNNNNNNNNNNNNNNNNNNNNNNNNNNNNNNNNNNNNNNNNNNNNNNNNNNNNNNNNNNNNNNNNNNNNNNNNNNNNNNNNNNNNNNNNNNNNNNNNNNNNNNNNNNNNNNNNNNNNNNNNNNNNNNNNNNNNNNNNNNNNNNNNNNNNNNNNNNNNNNNNNNNNNNNNNNNNNNNNNNNNNNNNNNNNNNNNNNNNNNNNNNNNNNNNNNNNNNNNNNNNNNNNNNNNNNNNNNNNNNNNNNNNNNNNNNNNNNNNNNNNNNNNNNNNNNNNNNNNNNNNNNNNNNNNNNNNNNNNNNNNNNNNNNNNNNNNNNNNNNNNNNNNNNNNNNNNNNNNNNNNNNNNNNNNNNNNNNNNNNNNNNNNNNNNNNNNNNNNNNNNNNNNNNNNNNNNNNNNNNNNNNNNNNNNNNNNNNNNNNNNNNNNNNNNNNNNNNNNNNNNNNNNNNNNNNNNACAUAACGUUGAUGAAUCAAUUUGGCUCUGAUACCACAUGUUGGGAAGGAGCUCGGGAGAAACAUCAGGUCAAAUGCGAGGGAGACGUCAUGUCUCCACCCAAAAUUUUAAAAUAUUGGGUUAUUGGAUCUACGCUCUUAUAAAUUCAAUAUUCUUCUUAUUCAUAUUUGAUGUGAGACUUAAUCAUUGUACACUUGAAAUAUACUAGCGAUUUUAUUAGAUGUAUAGUAAUUAAUUGUUUGAAAUAACUCGAAUUUAAAUUUUGAUACUAUCGAUCAAAUUUUACUUAAAUUAUAAAAGUUUCCUUCAUCUAGAAACCACAUGAUUAAGAUAAAAAGAAAAAGUGAGUAUAAAAAUGUGACCGACAUAACCAUGUGGACUAACCUCACUUAGUAUGUAUUUUAAUUUUGUUAACCUUCUUCAAUGAUUAACCCAUGUAGAGCUACUUUGUAUUGAAAGAUAUAGAAGCAACUUUUUACCUACAGCUGAUUUUGUAUCAUAAAUACAAAGCAGUUUACCUGAACCAUUACCAUAUUUGGGUAUCACUAAUUACAACAUUUACAAAUUAGUGAAAUUACAAGUACCAACGACAUCACCCUUAUAAACUGACAUAUAAUAAGCUUCCAUCUAUUUUUCCUUGUGUCAUCUGAAAAUAAGCUUGUUGUUUUUUUAAUCAUUGACUUCAAAAUGAUAAAACGUGAAAAACAAAAUUAAUGAAAAGAAACAAUAAAAACCCAAGAAUUUAUUAACAAAAUAUUUUGUUGCAUCACUAAUUGAAGAAUUAGUCACGGAGCAUGCAUCUCUCAAGUAACUAAGAUAUUAAGAUGGCAUGGUUAGCAACUAUUGCUACAAUUACUUAUAAUAAUGUCACUGGUCAAAUUUUUCAAUUAAUUGUCUCGUAAUUCGGUUGAUAGAAACAUCGUAUUAUAUAUGAAAAUUAAGAUCCGUAUAUAAAAUUCUCUAUUUAUGAAUUAACCAAAUUCAAUUCAAACCUUUUUAUUUUAUUUCAAAGAGCUUAUCCGUAAAAUCCACUCAUACUUUAGCUUAUAGGCUAUAAGCUAAAAACUAUAAGUUAGCUUAUUUUCCUUCCCAAACAGAGCCUAAGUAUAGAAAAUAAAAUUACUCCCUCCGUACCAAAUUAUAAGUCACUUUAAGAAAAAAAAUUGUACCGAAUUAUAAGUCGUUUUACAAUAUCAACGAAGUAUUUAUGUUAUUUUUUUUAUUAUACAAUUAAUUAUAUAUUACUCUCUUCUUUCAAUUAUUCAAUUUAUUUUUUCUAUACAAUUAAUGAAGGACAAUUUUAUAAAUUAACUCAUAAUUUUUUCUUUUUUGUACAACAUUAAUUACGGAAAUUUGUGUAAUAUGAUCAAAACGGCUUAUAUUUUGAUACGUCUAUAAUACAUGUUUGAAGUUUGAACUCGCAUCGCAACAUAUUAAAUAUGUUAUUAUAGUCUUUUACCUACAUACUAUGCCAAUUCAAAGCCAUUUUAAAAGAGUUAAUUAUAGGGUCACCCCAUUCUAACCAUAGCCACGCCACUUUAAUUCAUUUUUCUGUUUUCUCUUCACACAUGUCUAAGUUUCAUUGCUAUAUGUAACAACUAAAAAAACUUGUACAUUUUCAAGAGACAAAGCAUUUAAUCUCUCUCUCCCACCUAUACUCCUAGUAUAUACACAUAGACAUGGCUCUUCUUCAAACUACACCUUGAAACCAACAAAAUCGUGUGUUUGUCUCUAUGUUUGUUAGACACAAACACAAACACAGUGUUAUCUUCUUCAUUCUCCUCUGUUCUGUUAUGUUCUGUUUUGCAUGAAACAGAGUACUCUGUUUUAUAUUCUUUGUGAUGAGGUAUAUUCGGACAAAUAGCUUCAAGAGACUUUUCUCAUUCAAAAAACGUGGUUUAGGGGAACAAGAACUUAAUUCUAAAGGUGAAGAAAAAGAUAACAGCUUGAAGAUUCUUCCAUAUGAAGAAGAAUCUUGUGAAAGACCAACUUGGAAAUGUUUCUCAUAUGAAGAGUUGUCUGAUGCUACCAAUGGCUUUAUUUCAGGUAAUUAAGCCUUGUUUUUUUGAAAAAGAUUAUAUCAUACUAAUAUUUAUGCAAAUUGUUAAAGAAGUUCCACAUCAGUUGCGAGAUUCCAUCUUAAAAUUGGAAGUUGAGCCUAACUCAACCCUAUAAAACCGGCUUGUAAAGUGAAGAUUGCGCUCACUUAUAAAGACAGUCAUCUCGCAACCGAUAUGAAACUUUUAAAUACAAAUUUUUGGGAAUAAGUUAUUGUUUUUUGUUAUAGAAAAUAUUGUUGGAAAAGGAGGGUAUGCAGAAGUUUACAAAGGAAUGUUGAAAAAUGGUGAAGAAAUUGCUGUGAAGAGAUUAACAAGAACUUCAAAAGAUGAAAGAAAAGAGAAAGAGUUUUUGACAGAGAUUGGUACAAUUGGACAUGUUCGUCAUUCCAAUGUAUUGUCUCUUCUAGGAUGUUGUAUUGACAAUGGACUUUACUUUGUUUUUGAACUAUCCACAACUGGUUCUGUUUCAUCUAUUCUUCAUGGUAACUACUACAUUAACCUUUUCUUUAUAUUUUUUUUUUACCUUGUUUGUCAUAAAAAUUGAUUUUUUUGGUAACAAAACUUGAUUUUAGAAAAAGGGUUGUUAAUAGUAUAUGAAAAUCUUGUUGUAGAUGAAAAGUUGGAUCCUUUAGAUUGGAAAACAAGACAUAAAAUAGUUCUUGGGACAGCGCGUGGACUUCACUACUUGCACAAAGGUUGUAAGAGGAGAAUAAUCCAUAGAGAUAUCAAGGCAUCAAACAUUUUAUUGACAAAAGAUUUUGAACCACAGGUAAUUCUUUUCUUAUGACCUUCAAUGUUUCAAAUACUAUGUAGUUGUUUUUUUAUGUUUUUUUCUGUCAUAGUGAAAGUUUGUGUUUUUUAUUUUGGUAGAUAUCUGAUUUUGGACUAGCUAAAUGGCUUCCAUCUCAAUGGACUCAUCAUUCAAUUGCUCCAAUAGAAGGGACAUUUGGGUAAUUUUCUUUUACUUAGUGUCCUUCAUGUUUUCAAACCCUGGUUCGUAUAUAUUACAUGCAAUAUCCCUGUCAACUGAACUAUGCUCACGGGGACAUGAUUUUAUUCGUGUUAACAUUUUCAUUUUUUAUAUUUCUUUUUUGUGAAAGAAAAAAAGGUUUGAAAAUUGGAAUGGUUUAUCUUUUGUAGACAUUUGGCACCAGAAUACUACUUGCAUGGAGUGGUGGAUGAGAAAACAGAUGUUUUUGCCUUUGGUGUUUUCUUGCUAGAAGUCAUUUCUGGUAGGAAACCUGUUGAUGGGUCUCACCAAAGCUUACAUAGCUGGGUAAGUGCCUAAGUGGAGCAGAGGAGACUUAACCCCACUUAACUUUUAAUUGUUCUCUUCCCUUUGGAAAUGUCUUGUUUUUUUUGGUUUCUUCUUGUCCUAUGAUAGAUUAAUGUGGUCACAAUUUUGUGCAAUAACACAAUUAGUCAUAUCGGUGAUCUUUAGAUCAAAAAUCAGAUGAUUAAGAUUUUAAGUUCAGUAAGUUAGAGAUCACAAAAAAUUAAUCAUAUUAAAAUAUGAAUCGUUCAAUCUUAAGUCAAUAUCGACCAGUAUCAUUGACUGCAUAGAUUAUUGUUACACACAACCCUAAUAUAGAGUACUUUUGAAUGAAUAGGCUAAACCAAUUUUGAACAAGGGUGAGAUAGAAGAGCUGGUAGAUGCAAGGCUUGAAGGAGCUUAUGAUGUAACACAGUUAAUGAGAUUUGCAUUUGCUGCCUCACUUUGUAUUAGGGCAUCUUCCACUUGGCGACCUACCAUGACUGAGGUAUAAGAGUUUUCUUUGUCUUAGAUUAUUGCUUUCUUCAAAUGCAAUCAAGAUUAAUUACUUCUUCAAAUAAAUGAAUGAAUAAUAAUGUGUCCAUUUAUUAAUGUGGUUGGCAUAGUUUUAUUCUUUUGCUAUAUAGAAAAAACAACAAGUCAUUCAUGGAGCCCAUCUUGACAUUGAGUAGGGUUUGAAUAAAAUAAAAUAUUUAGUUUUUUAUACACAUUAUUAUACAGAAAUAUAUCUAUAUCAUGUGAGCUAUAUGCUUUUUUCUUGAGCAAUGUGAACAAUAAUCAAGUAGUUAACUUAAAUACUAUGGUUUAUUCUAAUAUUGUUUUUGUUUUCUCAAUUACAAGUUAGAUAUAAAUGUCAUACUAAUAUUAAUUGCAAAUAAUUCUAAAAAAUAUUAUUAAAUUUAUUUCUCAAAAGAGGAGUAGCAAAGUGUCACCGCCUCAAAACAUGUAUUAAUAGGAGAUAACAAAAAAUAGAAGGGAAUUAGGCCAAAACCUCCCUAAAUAUUUACAACCCUGAAAAAGGGUUUGUCAAGUCUAUUGACAUCAAAGCUAUCCCUAAUAAUUGAAAGUACAAUAUAAUCAAUCGAAGAAAUGUUAAAAAAUUAUAAAAGAAAUAAAAUUAAAAUACAGCUUUUUAACUAAUCUAAAUUCAAAAUAAUAAGUUAAUUAAAUAAAAUAUAUAAAUUAAUUAAUUUUAAAGUAUUCAUAUUUUUAUUUAUUUCUCAUAUAGGUUCGCUCUAUAUAUUGAAGAUAUAACUCAGCUAAAAUUCAAAUUUUGAUUCGUUAUGUUGUGAAAGUCUAACCCUUUUUAUAAGACUUAAUCAUUUGAUUCAUUAGUCACCUUUUAUUACGUAAAAGAAGAAAUUUGUAUAUGAAAAUAUAGCUAUCCAUUACUUCCCCAUCUAUUAAUUUCCUUCUUCCUAAAGUAGGAAGUGAAAUCACCAACUUCAUUUUGGUCAUCAUUUUAGGACAUACGAAUAGUAAAGAUAGGUACAACUACCACUGUAAUGCACAAGACAAAGUAAAGCUAUGUAUUUCUCUCGAUCUCUCCUAAUAAAUUUGUAUAUUACUUUAUCAAUUUUUGUAUUUAUUUUUCUAAGAAAUUCACAAAUUAACUAGAAAUGUACUAGCUAGUACUUUUUUUAAACAACAAAAAAAGUAUGUAAAUCUUUCACAAAAACAAGGAAAGAUUCCAACAAGAUUGAUACUUCAACUUCUAAUAAUCAUAUGCAACAUGCUCAAUCUAUUCCGAAUUAAAGAAAACACAAUGACAUAGGGGGGGACAAAAUCCAAACCCCAUGAAGGGUAAAAAACUGCUUGAACUUAAAAUUAGGAAGGUGGCACAUUUAAAAAUCUAUAUUGAAAUCUUGAAUAGUAGCCACUAGUAAACUUUAAGAAUGCACAUUAAUAAAAUUCAACUAUGUAAGAUGGACUAUUGGACAAGGUUUUAAAAUCUUGAGGCUCUAAGUUAUCUACAAACAUUAAAUAGAAAUGUUUAAGUACUCAAAUUUUAAUCAAAUAUGAAACUCUAAAUUUAAUUAUAUCAAUAAAUUUUCAAUUUUGAGGGGUUUUAAAGUGUUGAAGGACCUAAAUUUCUGUUUAUACCAAUUUUUAUCGGUCCAAAUUCUUGCAUAUACAAAUUACGUCUAAAAUUUUGAGGACUUUUUUUGGGUACAUUUUGAGGACUUAAAUUCCUGCAUAUAUAUAUUAAUUUUAAGAUUAGAAUAAAACCUUUAAAGUCCUGUGAGUUUAACUCAAUUGGUAAAACAUUGCAUUAUAUAUGCAGGGGGUCGGGGUUCGAACUUCGAUCAUCCCACUUAUCCAUCUUAAAAGUGGAAUUUCUAGCCACUAGAUUAUUAGACAAAAAAAACCUCCAAAAAUAUUUUUUUUAGUUAAGUAACCCACUAACCAAAAUUUUAUCUUUCAAAUAAAUAAAUAAGUAGAGAAUCAUCUCGAAUAUAAAAUUUAACCAACGUAUUAUGAUGUCUCUCUCAAUGUAAAGAAAUUGUAUCCAAUCAAUUGAUACAUAUUGAACAGAGUAGGACUCGCCACUUGGCAUUUUAUAAUUUAUCCCAUUGGUUGUAUAUAAAAAGUUUUAGUAUUAAUUAACACCUAUAAAUCUAAGCAGAAGGGAACAGAUCAAUGCUUUCAGUGCUAGAGCUUGCAAUGCUUAUGUGAUUUCUUGUAGAUAAUUUUUAUUAAAUAGAUGGUGGGUCAUUGUAAAAAUAAAAUAAAUUGGAUUUUGUGGGUCAGAAAUUAUGUAUCCGUGAUAUAUAUAACUCUUUUGUUCGUGGCACAUUUGAAGUUCACCUUCUAAACUUUGGUCAAUUUGUCAUAUUAUCUAUAUUUGCAUGUGUGGCGUGUUCACUUGUCUAAUUCAUGCCUUUUAUUUAGACACACACUUUGCCAAGUUACCAAUAAAAUAUACACAAUUCUAUCUAUAUAACAUCAACAUAAAUUAUUUCUAUUAUAAUAGUACAUCAAUUUCAAUGUCUCAAACAAUCAAAUUUUUAUUGGAAAAGAAAACUUCAAACCAUCAAAUUUGUAAAUAUAAUACUACAUAUAUUUUUCAUAUGUCAUUUUAUUAAAUUAAGAUGGAUUUGCAUCCAUGACUUUACUCAUAAAUUUCUUACAAUGAAUAAAGAUUCUUUUGAGAAGCGUCAUGGAGUCCAACAAAGAUUUUUUUUGGUUGAGAAAUGUUGAUUUUUUCUUUAGUUUUCACCACCAAUAGUCGGUUUACUGGACUGUCUACUUUAAUUUGUGGGUCAGUUUUAGUAUCAAAGAAUUAAUGAUAUAAAGUUCAUUAUAAUAAAUGUAUGAUCACUUAAAUUUAUAUAGUAAUCAUAAGAUAAAGAAAUAAUCAACAAAUCACAAUUUGUAGCUACCUUAAACAAUAUAUUCAUAAUUAAGAACCUCAAACUAUAUCUAACAUACCCAUUUGAAUUUUCUCAAUAUCAUUUAAUGGCGGCAUUCUUUCUCCAUACAAAUUGACUAAUCAGUUGAUGUUGUGUCUUACCUAAUUUUGACUUUCAAUUAUAGUAGGACACAUGAUACUAAUAUAUAUGACAUGUCACACACACAAAAUUUGCAUUUAAUUUAAUAUAUACUACAAGACGAUUUAAAUUGUUAAAUGUGUAGGUUCUAUUGGAUUUCAUGUGACAUUGAGUUGAGGUGCUGAUUUAUAUAUGCUACCUUCAAUAUUAAUUCAUGCAUGGAAAUUGUGGGCCUAAUGUUUCUUGUUGUGUUAAUCACACAAAGGAAUAAUCAUAUCACAUUACCAUUACUUAAUUGUUUUUCUUCAUAACUGAUCACAGAUAUUGGAAAUAAUGGAGGAGGGAGAGAUAGAUAAAGAGAAGUGGAAAAUGCCAGAGGAAGAAGAAGAACAAGAGGAAGAAUUUUGGGGUUUUGAGGAUCUAGAAUAUGAAUAUGACACUUCCUUUUCAAUGUCUUUAAUUGAUUCAAUUGAAAGUAAUUAGAAUUAGUACUUAGUGGGUAGUUUAUUUCAGUUACAUAAAUAUGUAUAUACAUGUAUGUCUUAAUUUUAUAUACAUAAAAAUAAAAAUUGAGGGUUCUGUUGUGAUACAGUUUUCCUCCUAUCUAAUCAAUCUCUAUAAUAAAGUUUUCUUAUUGUUCUUUUGUGUGUAUAGUAUAGUAUUAAUAUGUGUGGGUGUGAAAUUAUUCUUAGCAUCGUGCUAAUAUUAUUGGACUUGGUGUGUGGAUUUAAACAGUGCAAGUGGCCCAACAAAUUUGAUAUCAUCUAACUCAACCAUACAAAACUGGAUUGUAAGUAUUGUCCAUAUCACAUUCGAUGUGAGACUUCUUAAUAAUUAUAUAUGAUGAUGAUAAUUAAUUGAACUCAGAAUUGAUUAUGUCGGCAACACAAAGAGGAAAAUGACAAUGCAUUGGUUGUUUUCGUGUGCAAAUUACUCACGGGUAUAAUAAACUCUUUAUGUGACUAAACAAGGCAGAGGAAAUUGGAUCAAAGGUCCACACAUUUAUGCACAUUUGACAAAAAUUAAUAUGAAAUUCAUGGAGGUUUUCUAUAGUGUUCUUAAUAAUCAAAUGAUGUCUCCUUUUUCAAGCUCAUUUUGUUAAUAUUUGUAGAUUGUAGUAGUGGAGGACGGUUGUAGCUCCUCGGAGGGGGCGGCGUACUUACAAACACUUUGAAGAUCAAGUCGAAUUGUGACUGAGGUCGGAGGGUGAGUGGUUUUUUUAGGUUUAGACAAUGUGUAAACUGGAUCAAGUGUCAUUAUUUAUAGGAUAGGAUGUACUCUAGUGUUUUCUAGGUAGAAUCCAUUGAGUCAGUUAGGUUGUCCUCAACGUGAUUCGUUGAUUAGCUUUUGAUCAAACACUUCUAGGACAUGCUCAUAGCAUACUCCAUAGUGAUCGACUCUAUUUGCGGAUUGGACUUAGGCCCAACUCAAAACAAAAUAAAACUAUAAAUUCUAAUUUCACAUUAAAAUAAAUUUUGCAGAAAAAAUUAAUUGCAAUAAUGUCACCUAAACAUAUUAAAGUUUUUAUGUUUCAUAAAUCAAUUUAAUUAGCUCUCCUUUUCCUUAAGGGUCAUUUGGUUCAACGAGGGGGAGGGGAAGGCAAUAUUUUUAGUUAAAUGUCAAAAUCAUCCUCUAUUUUUUUUUUUUCCUUUUUUUUAGGUUUGCAACAUUCUAUAUUUAUUUUUUUCAAAUCAUUUUGUUACUAUAUACUUUGCAACUUCUUUGUUCUAAAAAAAGGAGAAAAAAUAGAGAAUGAUUUUGACAUUUAGCUAAAAAUAUAUUCUCUCACCUCCUCUCCAAAAACCUCCCACCAAACACACGCUAAGUUAAUCACAUAUGAUGAAGAAAAAUCAUAUCUUCAGUAUUUUGGAAAUCUAGCUAAAAUCAAAGCUGAAAUGACUCGUCCAUGUUAUAAUAAUAAUGUGGAAAAUAACUAUUAGGCCAUAUGGUUUGGUCACCUUAACUUCAACUAUUGUUGCAUUCAAGUUGAUCAUAAAAAUAACAAUAGCAGCAAUCAAACAAGUUUUAUGCAUUUGUUGGCUGUCAUGCAAGUUGCCAUAUGCUAUAUGUUAAUCAUAAUUCCUUAUUUGGAAAUUGCAUGGCCCGUUAGAGCUGUCAUAUAGUUCUAUAAGCAUAUGACAUUAAUUAAUACUGUAAAUAUCAAUUGUAGAGUUCACAUGCACUAUUUUAAUGCAUACUCCUAAAUUAAGCACCAAUGCACCAUAUCCGUGGACAUACAAAUUUUUAUAUACUAAUUAAAAGAACCCUUUUCUCUCUAUUUCAUUUUCUAGCUACUACGUUUGUUAUUAGUCACAGUCAUAGCAUUCAUUUCAAACAAUGGAGGGCUUCUCAGUUUCUGUAGGGCAUGCAAAAAAAAAAUAUUUAAGUAUGUAUUUUAUAUAUUUUUUUAUUAACUUGUUUUGGUUUUCUAUUUUAUAGACCCAACAAAAUAAGAAUUAUAAUUUUGUUCUUUUUUGUUGUCCCUCAAGAUCCUUCAUGACCAUUGUAAUUUGCAUAUCUUUGGGCUCACUUGAGUGACAAUAAUAGGUAGGUCUAGUCUAGAUUGGCUACUAUAAUGCUUGUGUCCAAAAAGUGGUCCAUUGAUGGUUCAAGCAUUCUUAGGAACAUAGAUUUUGGUGUAGAUCAUAUUAUUUUUGGUAAUGAGUGUGUUAUUUUUAGCACACCAUAUUAUGUCUAUUUUUGGUAUUGUGGUGAACAAAAUCACCGUGAUUCACCGUGAUUUUGCAGAUAUUAUAGUGUAUAGCUUUUAGAAAAUGUGAAUCAAUGUGAUUCUGACAUAUUCACCGCAAUAUCAAAUAUACACUAAAAAGUUAUGCACAAAGAAGAAACAUUGGUGUGAUUGGGGAAAUAAUAUAAAUAGUACGUUUGGUAGUAACUUGGUGUGAACUUGAACGUGAAAUGUCAUUUAAAAACACACAAAUAUUUCUCAAUAACAAAAUACUUCUACUUUAUAAGUUCUUUUUUUAAUUGUUUUAUUUGCAGAAAAAAAAAAUCAUAUGUUUUUGUCAUUUUCAAAAUUUAAUCGAACAUCAAUCAUUGCUUUGUCAAUACUCUUACAGUAUUUGCAAUAGUGUUUUAUCUAUUUAGUAAAGUUAAAUAGACACCCUCAUUGUAAAACGAACAAAAUUUAUGCUUAUAGAAAAAGAUGACUAUGAAAGCAUUCUUCCUCUUCACUUUUAUGCGGUUUCCACUUAAUAAUUGUAUUUGAAUUAAUAAAUGUUAUUGAAAUGUAUGAUACAGGGUCAUUAAUAGGAUUCAUUUAAUAAAUAAAAAAAUGUGCUAAAUUGAAGAAUUUGAAUAUUUUUUAUUGAGUAUUUUUUUAAAAAAAUGUGAUAGGAUUCAUUCAAUUUCUCUAAAAUGUGUUGUGUACUUGCAUGAUCUACUUGAGCACUAAAAAUAGAGAAUUUCAAUGUGAAUGUUUUUAAUCAUUUAUUUCAUAUAGAGAAAUAUAUAAAAUGAAAUAAAAAGUUAUUAUCUUAUUAUAAAAAGAUGGAUAAUUUUAUCAAAAGAACUGGUAUAUAUAAAUAAUAAAAUAAAUAACAGUUGAGAAAAGCUGAUGAAGUUGUAGAAUUUUCCGUCGGCAACUGCAUUGCUUCAAAGUUGAUUAAUUUGAUUAGUUAUAAAAGAGGCAUUUAUGUAUUUAGUUGAAACGUUACUCAAAAAGUUGUUUUGGAAGUGUGAGAUAAUUAAUAUCAGUGUCUUAGUGAUAUCAAAGCAUCUAAGUGCUGUUUUCAUUUCACUACUACUAACUAGAAGGUUGUUUAAUAGUAAAAAAAAAAAUUAAAAAAUAAUUAACAGUGGAUAAAAAUCAUAGUAUUUUGAAGCUUGUAAGUAUAAUAAAUAAAAACAGAUGGUCACAGCCACGGGCUACAUAUUUUGAACAUCAAACAGAGGGUCACUUCACUUGUGUGCUGUCACAUAAAAUAAAACCAUAGUAUUUAGGUGGUCCUAUCUUCCCUUUAGAACUUUCUGUAGCUCCAUCUUUAUCUCAUCCACCCAUUGCUGUUACACUACAGGAACAAUAUGGUAUCACUUAAUUUUAAUCAUUAUUGCAUCUACCUUGAUGCAGACUCCUUCAAAACAAAGAGCAUUGGAAUUGGAAUUGCAUCACACAGAACCAAUUACAAUGUAAGACAACAUAGCAGUUGUAUAGAAUGCAGAAAAACACUUAAUGGCAUAUAAAUCACAAUUCACACAAUACUGUUACAUGAGCUGUAUCUUCCAUAGCAUUUCCAACUACACUAUAUCUAAGACUCAUUCACAGUAUCACAAGCCUACAAGAUUGUUACAGUGCAAGCUAACAUUUUAAAAGGCUCUGAAGUCAACCAUACAAUAGUUACCGUCAAAAAAUUCAUCCAAUAAGGGAUAACUAAAUAAUAUAUAUAACUUAAAAUAAUUAGCAAACCAAAAUUUUUGGGGUGUGGGGGACCUCUCUGGUACACUGGGCAGUUUUAACCAACCAUUUAAGCUGAAGCCUUUAGGUUGUUGAGAGCUAACAUAGUUGUCCAAUCUCUUUCUGCAUAAGCUAACCAAUACAAACAGUUCCCAUUAAGUGGCAUGCACAUCUGCAGUAGUAGACAGUGUUUACACCUGUCUCAUAGAGAACAUGCAAGUACCUCAGCUUCCGGCCCAACCCUUAUGCUACUUCAGCUCUAUUGAAUUGAGUGUAAGUGGUACCAAAGAAACAAUAUCCUACAACAAGAGCCCAUGCAUGUAGUAUGUCAUUCAAUGAUCGAUGUCUUUUUCUCCAGCAGAGACUCCAAAAAUUCAGAACACAAUUUGGUGAGGGGUGGCAACAUAUGUGAUGAUGACCCAUUAAAUAUGGUUUCCCAAGGCCUAUUUGAUGCACCAGAGAAAACCGAUGAAGCCUUGUUCCUUUUUAAAUCAAAUACCGGUAACUCUCCAUAAAUUGAUGUAUAUCCGAAUUGUCCUGAAAUAAUGGGUAGUAGGAAAAAUGAAAAGCUAAAUCUCUAAACAAGUACUGUAAGACCAGAGAAAAAAUGGAAAUAGUUAACAUUUUGACCAACUAAUUUCAAUUAGUUCUUUCUUUCAUUCAUUAAAAAUGAAAUCAAAUAACAUAUUGCAAGAGAAUGAAGCUGUGACUUCUUCGGUUCAUCCAUAUAUGUAGAGAAAACAGUCAAAACCCUGAUCUAAAAAACAGUAGAAGAAGCAAAGACAACCCACCAUUAUCUUCAAGCCCAACAAGAUCACCCUGCAUAGUCAUAUUAAGCUCACGUGCUUCCUUGUCAUAUGGAUCAAAUAGGACAUAUUCGCGAUCUCCAUUUAAGUAUGCAAGCAGUGUUUUUGAUGAUUUUUCAUCUGCUAGUUCAGAUGGAUUUCCUUUAAGAAAAGCGAUACUCCCACCCUUGGCCUGAAUAAAAGGGCAUGCAAGAAAAUGCAACAAAAAAGUUAAAAUCCUAUUCUCUUUUUUCGUUAAAUAGAUUUGCAAAAAAACAAACUAUCAAAAGGACCAACAACAAAUGUGCAUUAAAACCAUCUCAAUCUUGUAAACAAACAAUACCUUUGUUACAGACCAGGAAGCCAUGGGAGUAGGAUCUGUUGCGUUGAAUACUAAGAUUAUUCCAUCACCUUUAAACAUACGUUCAUUUGAUUUGGGAAGGAGAGCAAUAACAGCAAAAUAUGAUAGAUCUAAUGCACACGAAACAGCUGCAUGAAUAUGAAUAACAAUUCUGUCAGAUCAAUAACCAAUAGCGAAAGUGAAAAUUGCUUACCAAUAUAAUAAACAGAAGUGAAAAAUAUCAACAUAGUAUCUAAGUAUAGUGUUGCAAGAUAGACGGGGUAAAACUUGAAUAACAACUUCCAGAAUUGAAAUUACAUGAAACAUAGUAAAAGCAUGAUGAGUAUGAAAAAUAAAAAUCAUUGGGAUAUUUCUUCAAACCUUCUAUUUCAAGCCUGUAUGACCAAGAUGCAGCUAACUUCGACAUACUCCAAACAGACAGUUGUGGUGUAGAACCAUGAGAUACAGAAAGAAGAUUCUCCGACUUUCCAACAAAGAUGAGUCUCCCGAUUGGCUGGAAACAGAAAGAAAAUUAGACCAAGAGGUACAAAUCAAUGAACCCUAAAAUACUGAAGCCAAAGCAACACUUAUAGGCAUCUAUUCUAAAAAUAUAACAGGAGAUUAUUAUCCUGUGUGUUGUGAUUUCUUUCUUCCCAUUUAUUUUUAUAAUCCUGUAUUUGAUGCUUUAAUGCAUGAUGCAAGAUAAAGACCCAAUAAAUGCAGACUUUGCUGCCUCCAAUAGUAACCAUAAUCUUUAUGAAAAUUCCACAGACUGAUCAGUAAUCACACAAGCAAUAGUGCAUAAACUUUCACAAGCAUCUGAGUGAGGAGCUGGCAUGUCUUAUUUGUUGAAAUGGACCACAUUUGAAAUAUCUUCAUGUGAAGAAACACACGAGAACACACACAAAUACAAAUAGACAUGAUCAGUAGUUCAAAAAAAUCUCACCGAUGGAGUCUCUCCUACAACAGCGAUGAGCUCAUUCUUGUCUGGGUCCCACAAUGUAAUAACAGUGUCUGCUGCAACUGCAAGCACAGAACCAUCGGCUGAAAAGGCAGCAGCUCUCAUUGCUUUAUUUCUGUGAAGGGGUGAAGUAACAGCAUCAUCAGUUAGUCAUAUUAUAAAAGUAACAUGAUUUCAAACAGAAGCAAUCAGAAGCUAUAUAAUCUUUUUGCUUUGUCCUGCUGAAGAUUAAUAUUAGUAUUCAAUUAUGCAAAGGAGUAAUUUUACAGAAGACACGCCAAGGUGCCAAAUGACCGUAGAUAGAGGAAUAUAAAAUGCAUGGAAUCAUGAAAUUCAAAAGAGAACAUUCACACAAACACUAACCCUACAAUUUUACUAGGAAAGAAAUGACUCGGGGUUGGUGAAACUUAAAUAUUGAAGGCAAACCUUGUUGGUAAAUUUUUGGUUAUUUAUCUAAUAUCUAUAGCCUACAAAAGAAAAUACCAAGUCAAGCAAUUAAAGUAGGAUUUAUACUUGUAUGACCCAACAGCAUGGCACAUCCAACUAAAAUUCUGAUGGGUCUGGCCUUUCUGCUGAGUUUCUUCCCUGCAAACCCAUAUCUGAAAAAAAGAAUAAAAAUGUCACCAGAAAAAUCUCUAAACAAUACAAAAAGUUUAAAAUAAGUUAUCUGAAAAUACCUUGAAAUCUCCACCAUAAGAUGAGGUGACAGCCAUAUGACGGGUCGGAUGAAAAGCAAUCGCGGAAAUAUGAGCAUCCCUAUUAAUAAGCAGAAAUGUGUCAAAUCCACUUUCUAAUAUAUCCGAAUGCACACAUAGCACAUCUAACAUACAGCUUGUGAUUCUGACAAGUUACACCUUAGUUGAAAAAAUCAAUUACAGUACUGAACCUGAUUGAGUCAUGCCAUUCUACUAACUUACUGCUACUUACAUUACGUAAGGAAUCUGAAAGACUGUAACUAAAAUAUAACAAUGACAAACAUUCUUAUAAUUCUUGUUCAAAUAAUCCAUGGACAUACCUGUGAGGUUCAUAAAUAAGAGUGGACAUUGAAAAUCGUUUGGUAUCUGAGUCCAAAUCCCAUAAUUUCAAACAAAUAAGACCUCCUAUUCCUUCUUCAGGAAGCUUGACUUCUACGGUACCCAUCAUAGAACCAUCAACAGACAGUUCCACCAUGGUCACUACCACCUGCAACCACAUUAUUCGAUGAAAAAAUGUAACAAAAAAUCAAAUGCUCAAUUAUAUGCAAGAUUGUCAACAUAUCAUAUUAAAGAAGCAAUGGGUGAAUUCACAUACCGUGACAUCGUCAACUGGUUGAUAAUUUCUUUCACAUACUUGAAUCUGCAAAGCAAUAAACUUCAACAUUUUAAAACCCGUGUGUUUAAUUUAAAGGUUGUUUUGACAGUUUAACGGCAAAUCUAAGGAGCGUUUUUAGAGUAAAGAAAUUAAAGCAAAUUAAUGAAAAGAAAAACAUUUAUUACAUUGAAAAAACCAAUCAUUUAUUGAUUGUUUCAAGUACAAUGAAACAUUUGAUAGAGCAUACUAAAUACUCCUUAACCAGCCUGAAUCAUAUUCAUUAGAUUAAACAAUGAAUUGUCAAGAUUAAAACAUAUGGUCAUGUAACUUUUUUAAGUGGUCAUGUGACCCUUAAAUAAUGCUUAAUCUCAAUUAUCCAUGUAUGGCUGAUUGGCCAAGUCUUAUCCCUCUCGCUCAAGGAUAAGAAAGGCUCUCUAGUAUAUACAUCCCAUGUGUGUGUGAAGAUAUUGACAAGACACGAAGUAUUUUGUACACAGAUACUAGAUAUUAACUUAAAUCAGUUGUAUAUGUAUAAAAUUAGUGUUAACUUCACUAAAACAAAAUGUUUUAAAAAAACGUAAAAACCCCUUUUAGUUUAGUAGAUUUUAGGGACGGGGGAUCAGGCCAUUUUAAUAAUUUCAAAAAGAAACUUAAACAUCAGGCUAUUACCUCAUAAAGUCCACGAUUAGCAAACAAGCUGUAGAAUUGGAUGCCAUAAUUCUCAGUUUGUACAGCCACUAAGCCAGAAGUGCAGUCAAAGGCAGCUUGGCUAGAAAUACUUUCACAUAUAUCUUGAGAAGACAAAGGGGGCUGGAAAAAAAGUGAAUGUAAAGGUUGUAUCAAGCUUCAACAAAUGCAUUUUAUGUGCAUGUGAUCAAAACAUGCACAUGUAAUGUAUAGAUAAAAUAAAAAUCAGUUUUCUCACUGAUCAUUUUCAAAAGGCAAAUGUUCAUUUAGCAUAACAGUUUUCAUUUAUUCUCAGCACAGUUAAUUGUGGAAGUGAAUUAAAAAGUCACUCGUCAAAUCAAAUAUUGCGUUUAAGUGACUAAUGUGAUGCAAGUUUGUGUGCCUACUUUAGCAGAAAAUUUAUUAUGAUGGUCAAUAGUUUAGUUUUCAAAAAAAAAAAUUAGUGAACAGUCAGAUGAUCAAGAUUUAAGACAUUUCAAUAUAUUAGGGACUAAGACACACUGACGACUGAACCAAGAAACAAGAAUAUGAAUAGACCAAAUAUAGGAACUAACCUUGAUCCCAGAAAUAGACCUCAUUAUUUCCAUAGAAGAGAUCUUAAAAAUGUGAAUUUGAUUAUCUGCACAAGAUAUCUGCAGACCCUUAAUUAGUUAAAACAUUAUGAAGAGCUAGUUUGCUGUUGGGUGAUACCCAUAGACUAACAGUCAUAUGUUUGACUACACAAAGUUAAGCCUCACCGAGGAAACUGAAGGAUCCGGAGAAUCUAUGAAAUACCGAAGCGGAGAUCCAAUUCUUGGUAAAAAUUUCUUCUUUCCGGUGUCUAGCUGCCAAAACACAAGAACCCCUUCCUUCCCACCUAUUAUAAAAUUAUUAUGCCACACAAAUAAAAAAUUUAAUUCGAAAAGUCAAUAGCUUUCUGCUCAACAAAGGAUAAGAUAAUUUGACCAUCAACAACGUCGUCUUAAAUCCAUUUAGCAAAACUUCUGCUUAUUGAAAAACUCAGUUCCCACUAGGUGUUUAAGAUAUAUACAUUGUUCAAAACAGUUUGAACGGUUACUUGAAACCCUAAAGAGCAAAGACAUUUACUAACUAAGUUAUUAAAUAAUCCUAAUUGGAGCAAAAAUUUGUGGCAUCUGCACCAUCAAGUAAUAUAGGACACACCAAGCCUAACAUGCAGUACACAAGUUGAAGUCCACAUAAGAUAAUUGGAGAAGUUUUCAAACUGAACAGAACACAAGAAUUAUAUUUGAAACAACCUACUUCUAGCUUCGCAGAUAAUCAUUGUCCAGUACUCCAGUUCAAUGGUUUUUUAUAAAUAAUUCCAGACAUGGGGUUUACCUGAAUACAAAUAGACUCCAUCUGAAGAGAAGGAUAAAAGAUUCACUCCAGAGGAGUGCCAAUGCCAUGUGGAGCAUGAUUCAGCAUCAUCAUUUUGUCUUACCCCAGGCUUACAUUCUUCACCAGUCAUUGAUGUUCUGUUCAACAACUCCCCAUUUUCCUGAAAGUUCUGAGCACCAAAUCCUCUAAAAAUUAAAAUUCUUCCAGUGACAUCACCUGCAGCUACAAUCCUCUCAGUUGGAUGGAAUGUAAGAACUGAAAAGGUCUUUGUAUGAUGCAGUGUAAUCUUCUUUGAAACAGCAGAAUCAGAGUCGACUUUAGGAAUUUUCCAUAUAUGAAGUUUCCGUUUGUCCUUUAUGCCCAAAAAAUUUCCACAGGGACUAAUGGUCAAACGUUGAGGCCGUUUAGUCUGUCAUAGAGUGAAAAAACAUUCAUGUAGUGAUGCAACAAUCAUACAUAAUAAUCAAAUUAUAUUCUCAUAGCCAUUGAAAAAAAAAAUCAUAUUCUCAUAAAUGUUGACAGCUUAGCAUAAAUUUUGUGAGACUGUUUGGGAAAACUUAUGACAUUGUUCAUAAAUUGUUUUAAGCUUAUUUGCAAAGGGUCUCCAAGAUAAUUUAUGAAAACAGCUUAUAGCUUAUACAAAAGGGAAAUGCUUAUUCUCACGACAACACACGUCACGAAUUACAAAGGCGCUCAUGAUAAUUCGUGAAAUCGUUUUUCGUGAUAUCACAUAGAAAUAAAAUGGAAUUAUUAGCAGCAUAAAAAUGGCCGAGUGUGAAAUACAAAGGCGCUCGUGAUAAUUCGUGAAAUCGUUUUUCGCGAUAUAUAGCAUUGCCGCAUACAAAAACAAUUCAAGGCUCCCUGUUUGGCAAGGCCAAAUUUAUAGCUUACAAGCUCAUAUGACAAAAAAAGACCCUUGGUGACAUUUUUUUCUCAGGAGCUUAUAGCUUAAUUUACUAGCUUACAACUUAUUUUGAUAAGCUAAUUCAAUUAGCUUAAAAAAAAUUAAAUAUUAAUUAUACAUAUCAUUUUUAUGUUAUUUCAUAUUUAUAAGUUAGUUCAACAACUACUGAUGUUACCGACCACUAUAUUUCAUCUUUUGAUCCUCUAUAACCUAACUUUAUUUCAUCUUUUGAUAUAGAAAUAGUUUAUGCAUAAACACUUAUCAUAACAAAAGUGUAUGUUAUAAGUUUCAUAUCCAAAUAGGGCAUCAAUAGGAUCAACAGUAAAUCACAUUACUUCUGAUUGGAGAAAAUAUCAAUAUAUUUACAACAUCCACAUUCACAAUUAACCCUAAAAAAUUGAAAAACACUAAAAAUAGUUAUACCUCUUUCAAGGUAACCUUGGAAAGCUUGUUAUAAUUUGUCAAGUUACACUUCCUGAUCUGAGCAGUACAAAGUUUAGGCUUAUUAUCUUUGCCAUUUUCAGUUUGCAUACACACAUAAGCAUAAACAUUCUUCUUCUUUCCACUACUUUCUUCUGGUGUGGAUAACAAUGAAGGUAUAACCUAAAAUAUUCAAACAAAAAAACACAAUAAUUAGUAUUAAAACUAUAAUAACGAAUAUGCUAGUUGAAUAGAGAAAGCUAGGGUUAGUACCAUGGAGAAAAUUGGAAGGUUAAGGUCAAUUUUUUUGAUGCAUUCGAAAAGUGAGAAAUCCCAAUAACGAAUGGUUCCAUCGAGAGAAGAAGUCCAACAGUAGUUGAGAAUCUUUGAACCGGGGACAACAACGACGGAGGUGACGGUGGAAGUGUGACCUUCUAAAGACGAAACCUGUAAAGCGGUUGCGGUGCUGAAAAUGGCGACGGAAGUGCCGCAACCGACUAGAAGACGGUUGCCGUCGUUGGAGAAUGAUGGAGGACAUGAGACGUAGCUUUGUCCUCCUCUCAUAGUUGGUUGGUUACACUCAGUGAAACGAAACGCAGCGUUUUGGAAUGGAAUUUGAAGACUCUGAAUUUCAGGGCAAAAAAGAAUGGAGGCGACAGAGAGUAGGAAGAAGUUGAUGUCCCAGCUCCAUAUAAGGGUUUGGGCCUUAACUUCACUUUUAUAUUUUAUAUAUUUUAUUUUUAGGUAAAUCUUAUCACCCCCUUCUAGAUUUAAUUUCCGCACCUCCUAUUUGUACUAAAAUUCUACUAAUUGGUAAAAUCUUGUCUUAACUGGAUUUUUGGCUGAAUAAUUCGAUCAUUAUUGGUUCAGUGGUGAUUGACGCUGAACUUGGUAGGGAGGAUCACGGUUCAAUCCCCCACAACUGCAUUUGGGAGGGGACUGAAACCACUUGAUGCCAAAACUCGUCCCGAACUCUGGACUACUAUGGCCCCCUUGCCCUAGGAACCAAAGGGUGAAAAAAAAAAUCAUUUAAACACAUACAAAAAUAUAUAUACCAUCAUUUAGUUAUUUUUUCUUUUUAUAUUUUCUCAAGUAUGCAUGUUCAUUCCAAAUGACGAGACUAAAUUAUUGUAUACUUUUUGUCUUUGAAUUUUAGUAGUACUAUUUUUUGGUUUACAAUGAGUUAGUAAUCGAUCCCAAGACCUAUAACAUAUCCUCGCAAAUUAAUUUUUUUAGUAAUAUUGACGUCUUAUAUUUUUCUUUGUGAUUUUGUAGUCUUCUUUCUAAUGUCUAUUUUUUUUUUUGUCUUAAAUGAAGUGUUAAAUUCACUGAAAAUAAACUCACAUAAUUGAUAAUUGUGAGAUCUCGGGUUCGAACCCGAGUCACGACGUAUGGCCUAACAAUUUCAGCAUUUUUUGUCAAUUGAACUAGGACUAGGACUUAAGUAUGAGACUUCUGAUUUAUUUUUUUUUUUUUGACAAACUUCUGAUGUCUAUUUUAAUUUACGUUGAGGUGACAUCAUUUAUCAACUAAUAUUGUGGCUUCCUGCACUCAUGGUCCAUGUGGCUUUAAUUAAAAAUUAAUGGUUCUGAAAAAGAAGGAAAAAAAUUGACAAAAAGGUUCGGAAAAAAUUGAAACUCAAUUAAAUGAAAGUCUCGUGCAAGUUGUGCAACCAUUUUUCUUCAUAUUUAUUAUCUUUAUUGCAACAUCUUUAUUCUGCAAACAAUGCAAAACAAUUUAACUGUAGUUGAACCAAUUCAACCUAUGACUGAGAGGUUUCAUAGAGAUUCAAUUCAAUCUAUGGUAUGAUUUUAAAACAUCUGUAUUUAAUAGUAUCAUCUAAUUUCAAUUUUUCAUUUAGGCAUUUUCACUUAUUUAUUGUUAUCAAGUGUUUGGAUGGAUUUAAAUUGUCUUGUAAUGGUAUCAUUAAACCUUCAUUGUACUGGUGUGUGCCUUUUUGUUUGUACUGAUGUAUGACUUGUUCCUUGUUUUUUCUCCCUCUUAGUACACCUUGUACUUGAGGGUUGGUUGAUUAAUAAAUCUCUACUUUGCCUUUUCAGAAGAAAAAAAAAAGGGAUGCAUUUCUCCUGAUAAACAUUUUUCCAUGCACACUUAGUUAGGAAUUGAACUUUAAACCAAAUGGUUAAGAGAUUCGAGUAUAUUCCAUUUAUACUACAAUGUGUUGUUUAUUACUCAAUUUCAUUCAUCACAUUUUAUAUAGAGAUUCUUUUGAUAAUCAUAUGGGUGUGAAGUAUCGGUGGCGGAGCUAAAAUCCUAGCAGAGGAUUCAAAUCUUAAAUUCUUGAGCUAAUUUAAACCAGGAGGUCAGUUGAACCCCUCAAAAGGCCUAGCUCCGCCUCUGGAAAAUAUCCACCCUCUUGACCAUAUAUUUUUCAUCCACAAAUUUUGUUCUAAGGACUCGGCGUUCCACUCAAACCAAUAUAUUGUUGGUAUACAAAGAUUUUAAUGUGUCUUUGUUAUAUCUAAAUACAAAUAUAAAAUUUGAAUCGUCUCGGUCUGAUCUUAGUCAGAUGACCACAUAUAUGUACCGACUGAAUGCAGUUUUGACUUGCAUACAAUCCAGAUCCAAAUUUUAAAGGUAGACAAUGAGAAAUUAGAUAUAGUCAUAUUAUCGGAUGAUCCAAAUCAGAUCCUUUGAUAUUCUCCUAUAUUACUAUAUAUAGGAAAAUUCAUAAGCUAAAGCCAUACAAAAUGUUUUCGAGAUAACGUUGCCAUCAUCAUGAGAAAGCAACUAUCAAUAUUUUUCCUUUACCAAGUACGAAUACAAAAACAGCUCCGAGGCAAGGAAAAUAAAAAACACUACUGAAACUACAACACGAUACAAUACAAGAUUAAAACAUUGAAUCAGAAGAUCAAUGGUUGUAGAACAAAUAACUCCUGAACAUAUCAGAGGAAUUCUUUCUACUCCACAUGUAAAUACGAAGGUAUAAAUAUACUCAAAGCAAGAGUCUUCACAUCCCACUUUUGAUUAAAUCCUGCAUAACAAUACCAAUUGCCAUGUCAAACGAGUCCUUCAAAGUUCAAACAUGUCAAAGAUAUUAUGUAAUGUAAUGCAAAGCGAAGGUAAUAUUACCAUCAGCACUAGGCAAAUCAAACACUCUGUACUUUGCUUGACAUUUCUUUCACUUUUUGAUCUCCUUUUUCCUACAAUCAGAUCAAACUUUACACUGAAUAAAGCUAACACACACCGAAUCAAAUGUAUGUAAUAUGCAUACUCUUGUCAUAAUUUAUUGUUAUGGUAAUGAUGCAAGGAGAAUACAUCACAUUUCACAUCUAAGGUAAUUUGUUAGAUAAACUUCUAAACUCUUGCGUGCUCGCACACACACAGAAAAUUGACCAUGGACACUGGAUAGUAACCCGUUUAGCAGUAGAAUAAAAUACUGCAAACCAAAACCAUAAUCUAACUUUCUAGAAUGGCCAAGUUCCCAUAUCACUGCAUAAUUACACAACAUUAGUGUUUACACAUUGCUCUGGAAGACCAACAGACUAGUGCAAAGAUAAGUUGUGAGAAGAUUUCACAAUGGAAUCCGUGAAUCGUGACAAAUUGAUGUCGUAAAGUACCUAAAUGCUGAGAAGUAACCACAAAAGGUGAACCUAUUGUCUGCCUCAAACUCCUCUUCGCUCUACUAACUUUUAUUGUCAUUCACUAAUCCUUAUCAUCUCUGGUUGUUAAAAUUGAAACUGAGCAUAUCCUUUCUAGUUUGAUAAGACUCGCUUACUUAGAAAUCAAUUGGCCCAAUAAAUACAACAAUGAUAAUAAUGACUAACUUGAUUUCAAAGCACCAGGAGGAAAUGCCCUUAAUUAACAUGUUCUUUAGCUUUAAGUCAUAGCUUUCAGGGUAACUUACAAAUAAAGCAUGUGACCAAGGGCAGACUUAACUUUGAAGGCUUACUUAUGCCAUUAUGACCGACCAGUUUGGAUUGAGUUAUUUGAACUUACUUACUGCCAUAAACAUUUGUGAGACUGUUUGCGAGAGCUUAUGGAAACAACUCAUAACAUAUUCAUAAGUUGUGUUCAGCUUAUUUUCAUAAACUCGUGAUAGUUUAUGAAAACAAACUGUGGCUCAUAUGAAAACGGAUUGACUUUAUUUUUGUGAUAGAAAUAGCUAAUACAUAAGCACUUAUAUGAUAAGCGCUUAAUUAAGUUGUUUACCCAAAUACGACCUAUUCAACAAGUCAGUGCAAAAAACCUGUACACAAUCCCUAAUCCUCUUUUACUUAUGAACAUAACUCAAUUAUUAGAUGAAAUUUUCAUUUUGGUACAUUUUUACCAAAAAAAGGACAACAGUGAUAUCCACUUUUAAACCAGUUAAACAUUCUUUAUGAAAGUACAAUUGUUCAAGCAUUGCAACAUGGUACUGUAAAACAUACACUUGUUAAUUACUACUAGUAUUGUAUGAAAUUAAAAGCUCACCGUUCCCUUAGUCUCAUAAUAAUCAUCAAGAGCCCAUUGAUACUUUGACUGAUUCAACCCAAACCAACGAGCCAAAUGGUCAUCCAAACUUGAGUGAGCUGUCAAUUAAUUAGCCAAAUAAACAAAGAUAUAAUUAUUAAUUAAUCAAAAAACUGAAUCAAACUACCCAAAAAUAAAUCAAUAAAAAAAUUCCCAACAAACUAAGUCAUGCAUUAAAAUAAUUGUUAAGCUAAAUCUUCUAUAUUUAGUUAAUCAAAUCUAAGUAAUAAAAAUUCUAAAAAUAGAAAAGAUGAGUCUGUCACUCACUCUUCAUCCAGUCUUCACAAUCACACUUUUCAACAACUCAUUUUCAAAAUUCAAAUAAUCUAAACUAGUACUAGAGAAAGAGUAAAGUAAUUACAUACCGGUUUGAACCUUGUCAACAGCGUUCUUGAAAAAACCGAGAAAUGAAGUAUCUGAAGAAAGGGUUUUUUUGGAAGAAUUGGGAAGAGGGUUAUGAAUCUGAGGUGGAGGAGGAGCGAUCUUAGCAUUGUUGUUGUUGAUGGUUGUUGGUGAAUGAAGAGGAAUUGAGUUAGAAGAGGGUUUUGGAGUUGAAGGCGGUGUCAUGAAAACAGUGUAAGGUCCAAUUUUACCGAUGACCGGCGGCGGAGGAGUAGAUUCGGUGUUGAGAGACAUUGGCGUAGAAGAAGAAGAAGAAGAAGAAGAAGAAGAAGAAGAAAUGAGAAACUCAAAGAUUUGGUUGGAGAAUGAGAAAUGAGAAAAACAAGAACAAGAGUUGAACGAAGAAGAGUGAGAGAAGAUGUAGUUGGAAUGUUUUGUUUAUGUUGUGUUUGUGUGUACUGUACUUUGGUUGUUUUCCAAUUCCUUUCUUUCUUUCAACUCCACUUUUAUUUACUGCGUUUUAUUACUAUUAUUAAAGCUUUUUAGUACUGUACUUUUUUGUUUUUACUUUUUUGCUUUUCCAUCUCAUAAUAAAGGCAUCUACAUUUAAAUAUUUCAAUAAACUUCCACCAUUACUUCCAAAUUUUGUUUGUAAGGUCUAUUUAUAAUAUGGUCAUCAUGUCCACACAUAUAUUAAUAGCCGGUUGUUUGGUCUGGAAAAUAUAAGUAUUUUUUUUUGACAAAUGGAAAAUAUAAGUAUUAUACAUAAUUGUAUAGGAUAAAGUUUAAGUUUUUGAACAAAUUUUGUCUUUGUAUGAUAUUUGAUAAAUAAAAUAUUAUUUUGAUAUUUUAGACAUUUUGUGUAGAGAAUAAAAAGUUGUCUCGUGGUUUUCAGUGAGGACAAAAAGUUCCUAGGCUCCUAACUUAACCAAUCUUAGGAACAAUUUUGAAAUCAAACACAAUACAGUAAUUAUGUCUUUGAACAAAUAAUUUUAAAUUUUUUAAAAAUAAAAUGCACAAUACAAAAUUACUACUACACUAACAAAUGCAUAAUUAAGUAGUUUUUUUAUAUGAUAAAAUGGAUAAUUUUUAAUACAAAACUAGCAGGACAUCCGUGUGUCCGCACGGGAGUCGCGGCGUUGCCGCUCCUCGGUAACAUGAAAUAGUUAAAAAUAAAAAGGAUAUAAUAUUUGGUUAAAAAAAUAGAAAAAAAUAAUGGUAAAACCAUCACCAAAAAAUCUUAGGUCUCCGUAUUAAUAUAUGAGUAUAAAUAUAGUCCCGUAAAAAUUAUUAUAAAAUAGGCAUCAUAUUAAUAUAUUAGUGAAAAUAUAGGUCCCACAAAAAUCAUCAAAAUAAUUAGAUCACCGUAUUAAAUAUGAGUAUAACCCUUAGGGCCCGUUUGAUGCACAAGAUAAGUGACAUGAUAUGAUAACUGUAUCAUAUCCUGCCGUAGUCUAGUGUUUGGUGGUACAGCAGGAUAUGAUAAGUUAAUCAUGAAGCUUAUCAUAU
rnacentral:lncRNA from 1 species